GACUGCAUAAAUUUGUUGGAGUUAAUGUAGUCAAUUGCCCAAUUUCGCUGCCUAUCGAAGAGACACAUCAUGGAAGUCCUCAUCAAACUCUGAGACACCUAAGAAAUAGUAGGAGGUGGUGGUACUUGCCUGGGGUUAAUUUCCUGGCAAGUAUAGUUCACUGAUAGAGGGAAUCUUCUCUUGAUGUCUAAAUACCGUAUGUGAUACAACGUCGUAUAUUCUAAUUUUCCUUGAGUUAAAUUCUAGUCAGUUAGGAAAGUUAAUUUUGUUUUCGCUAUGGAUUGUUUCCUAGAUAAUAAUAGUUUCCAUGUUCCUUUGGGGUCUUAUUAACUCUCUGUAACCCAGUUCAAGUUUGCAAAUUCUAUUUCAGAUUUCUCAUAUAGUGUGCCUUUGUGACUUCUGUGAUACACUUUUGAUCACAAGUUUCCAUUUGAAGUAGCCAAUAUUCUUUAUAGACUAAUUAUCUAAGGAUUAUUUUAUACAAAAAAUGAAAACUUUAAUUAAUUGAUCAUACUUAACUUAGCUCUUGUUUAAUAUUACGAGCUGUUGUGAGAACAAAAAAAUAGCAGAAAGUUGACAGUGUGCAGUAAAUGUAUGACUUUUAAAUAAUAAUUUAAUAAAAUUAAUAAAGAUAUUAUAAGUUUUUUAAUAAUAAAGUAUGAGAUCAAAUUAAAUUAAUUAAUUUUGAAUUAUUUUAUUAUUGUCAAAAUGUAAUAUCUUAAAUAACAGUUAUUUUUAUUAAGAAUAUUUUUUUGGUAAUGAAUUAUACUUUUUAAAAUAUAAUUGAAAAUUCUUAUUAAUGAACUAAUAAAAAAUUAAUUAUUUGAGUUAUCUCCUAAACUACUUAGCUCACGAGAUAAAUUCACUUAGUUUAGAACGAAGCGGUGGGUUUUAUGUGGGAAGCCACAUCCUUACCACAUCAACCUCAACAUCGAAACAUGGAAUUGGACUAAAAAUAGUUCUUUCCCAUGUAUUUACGUAACCUCCUCCCAGUAAACGCAAAUAUGUAUUCUUGAGUGCAUGUAAUCCACAAGUUUGAUUGAGUAGAAGAUGUCGUUGUCACAAAGGCCUGGACGCCAUACCUCGAAUGAUAUGUUAGUAUGAAAUUAUGUUUUUUUUUUUUUUUUUGAGAGAGGUAUGAAAUUAUGUGAAAAUUAAUAUAUCACUUUUUUUUUCUUUUUUCCUUUUUUGCGUGAGUGAUGGCUUCGUUGAAUGACAGUUGGCAAAUAAUAAGUUAUCUUUUAAUUUUGGUUUUGAUUUGAAAAAAAUAUUAAUUUUUGUAGUUUCGGUAGAUGAAAUUUCGAAUCAAAUAUUAAUAUUGUUAAAGUACGCAACCCAAUAUUUGCUUAAAUUACAAAAAAGAUUAAUUACUUUGCAUAAAAAAAAAGUGAUCACUUGAUUUAACUUCCUUUACUAAAUUUACGAUUUAAAAUCCAAAAUAAAAAAAAGGAAAACAAUUUUUGGACACACACUCGGAGUUUUAAAUUAAUAUGAAAAACGAGUUUAUUAUUGAUAGGAAAACAAUCAAGUGAUCACUUGAUUUAACUUCCUUUACUAAUUUUACGAUUUAAAAUCUAAAAUAAAAAAUUGUUUAUUAUUGAUUGUCUUUUUCCCAAAAUUUAAGCUAAAACAGUAAUAUGUCCAAAAUACCCUCCACGUUAUCCUAAAACUUUAUAAACUCCCCCGUUCCUCUCAACAUCAUCUCUUCCAAAUCUUUCUCCCCCAAAAAACCAGCCAUGGCUUCAUAUUUAGUUACCUCAACACUCCAAUAUUGGCUUGUAAACAGUAGUGGUUCGACCUCUAGGCAACUUAGGUGGUUGUAUAGGACUCCGCUUUAUAUGAAAACCCUACGAGAUGAUUAUUUUGUAUAUAAAAGAGGAAAAUGAAUUUAAAAGUGAUUAUUAUUUAUUUAAUUUAUUAUUAUUUUGUAAUUAUCUUUUUCUAAAUAAACUAUCAAAUUCUUAUAAAGUUUAUUUAAUGUACUACUUAAUUGUUUUAAUUAAUUUCUACAAAACCAAUAAAUUAAUAGUUUCAAUCCUAAACAUUCUCUAUUUCAUUGUUAGAAUUAAUAAGUUAUAUUUCAAAAGUUUUAUAUUUAUUUUAAACCUCUAUAAAAGCCCCACAUUUUAUUACUUAUCCAUUACAUUUUUCCUCCAACAAUCAAGACAUCUUGGUGUUUUAGAGAAAGAAAGAGAAAGAAGGAAAAAAAUCUUGCUUCCCCUACUUUCUACUCUAGAAGAAACAGAAAAAAUCUAAUAGUUUUCUCUAUUUUCUAUGACUAUUGGUCGUUACUCAAAUUUUCAAACAAUAGCCUUAAUAUAAAUAUAAGUUAAUUUAUGAUUUCAUCUCAAAUUUUUGAUUUUAUCUUUUUAUUAUUCUCUUAAUUAGUUGUGUUUUAUUUGUUCUUAUUUCUUUUUAAUAUAUUCUUUUAUUCAUCUAAUUUUUUUUUGUGCUUGUUUUAUCUAUUUUGAAAUAAAACUAUAUCAAAAAACUUUAGACAAUAGAAGAAUAGAAAAAUUAGUUUAAUUUAAAAAAAAAAGUAAAAAGAUAUAAUUUAACUUAAAAAAAUAAAUGAAAAUGUUAUAAUUGAAUUAAAAUUUUAUGAAUUAACAUCAAUGGAAUGAAUUUUUAUUUAAUAAUUUUACAUUUUAAAGUGUUUAAAGAAUUAAUUUUCAAUAAAUAAUAUACGUUAUAUACCUUCUAGAAGAUAUAUAACGUAUUUCAAUAAAUAAUUGUACAUUAUGAAUUAACAUCAAUGGAAUGGAUUACCUUCUUCAAACGACGGCACUGCAGGAACUGAGUAUUUCUUAUUGUCCAAUUAUGGAAGAACUGCCCAUUCUAGAAGAUCACAGGACAACAGACAUACCACGUCUUUCUUCCUUGCGAAUUUGGAAUUGCCCCAAACUAAAGGUGCUGCCGGAUUACCUUCUUCGGACGACGACGCUGCAGAAAUUGACAAUUUGGGGAUGUCUCAUUCUGGAAAACCGUUAUAGAGAGGGGGAAGGAGAAGACUGGUAUAAGAUAUCUCACAUUCCCCACAUCAAGUGAUCGCCGUAAUUUAUCACUCGCCGGUAAUUUCUCCUCCGCCUCUGAUUUACUUCGUUGUUGCUUGCAAUGAAAUUAAUAAAAAUAAUUAUAUUUUGAAUUAAAAUUUCUAUACUUAUUUACUUUUAAAAAAUAUGUGCUCUUUUGUAAAAUUUCAUGCAAUGUAAUUUAUUUUUUAAUGUACGAUAAUUUGUUGUGUGUAACUUCCUGAGAGACAAAAUCUCUGUGAUACAUUUGCAGUAAUGUUGAAAACUAAAUUAUCAAUUUUAUCUUGUAUAAUGAUAAUCUUAUUUUUUUAUAUAUAAUUUAUGUGACAUUAAUUCUUUAAAGUAAUUGUGUAAUUGUUUUUACUACCAGUUUAUGUUUCAUUUUAAUUAUGUUCACCAGGGAUUCGAGGAAAUGUCAGAACCACACUAGCAAUUCACAGGUCCAAUCUAAUUUGGUUUUAAUGAUGCGGCAGGAGAGCAAGACUAUGAAAAUGAAAAGUUUAGCCAAUGGACUGCUAAAAUGUUCUGCUGGUAAUUCACUUGCUUUAUUUUAUAGAAUUUCAUUUCCAUCUUCUUCUAUUGAUAUCUUGUUGUGAAUAAACAAGAACAGAGAAGUAAAUGAUUGAACCACAGAGAAGUAAAGAUAUAUCCAAAUUCGAUUAUUAUGAUGAUUAAAGCAAGCUCAAGCUCAAGCAUUGCAUUUUUUAUUUUAUUUAGUUUAUAGAAUUUUCAUUUCCACCUGCAUUGCAUUUUUAUUUCAUUUUUAGAUUGACUUUGAAGACUCUAUGGAGAACAUUGGGGUAACCAAGGAUUAUCACUGUGGUUAUUGUGCAACGUUUGGUUGCUGGACUUUGAAGAAGGAAGUGAUGGCCGGGUCUGCUCUGUUUCAAUUGAGGAUGGAUAGCUGCCUGAAAAACAUGAUGAUUAUUAUUGCAUGAUGUUAAGGUGCUAAGAUCAUCCUUUCUAUCUUGUUUCAUUCUUGGAAUCAUUUAUCCUAUAUAAACAUAUUGAAUUGUGCUAAUAUUAUCAUAUGCGUAAAUGGAGGCAGGAAUUUGGUGUUGACACUAUUAUGCAGGUAACCACACUUGAUAAUUGGCACAAAUUUGCGUUGUCAGAAUAUCCUUUAAUAUUCAACGUGUCUCUUUGUGUUAUCAGGAGUAUCAUGUCCAAGGGUAAAGGUGCUGCCGGAUUGGUGGAUGCCCCAAAUUAAAGGUGCUGCCGGAUUACCUUCUUCAAUCGACGACACUGCAGAUAUUGAGUAUCUUUUUGUGAAAAUAUGGAAGAACUGCCCAUUCUAGAAGACCGCAGGACAACAGACAGAUCACUUGCCCCAAAUUAAUGAUGCUGCCGGAUUACCUUCUUCAAACAAUGACACUGUGGAUAUUGAGUAUUUAUGAAUGUCCUAUUCUGGAAAAACGUUACAGAGAGGGGGAUGGAGAAGACUCGCAGAAUGUUAAGGUGCUAAUAUCAUCAUUUCUAUCUUGUUUCAUUCUUGGAAUCAUUUAUCCUAUAUAAACAUAUUGAAUUGUGCUAAUAUUAUCACUUGUGUCAAUGGAGGCAGGAAUUUGGUGCUGAAACUAUUAUGCAGGUAACCACACUUGAUAAUUUGCACAAAUUUGCGUUGUCAGAAUAUCCUUUAAUAUUCAUUGUGUUUCUUUGUGUUAUCAGGUUAUCAUGGUAUACAGAGUAUCAUUUUCAAGGGUUUGUAAGAGCUUUCGCAGUAAAGUUAGUCAUCACCACCUUGUGCAAUUGCACAUACAUUCAGAGUACUUCAAUAUUAGAUUUUCAAGGUUUGUAUGUUUAGUUGCGAUUAAAAUUUUUAGUCACUCAUUCUUAAUCUUUUCUAAUUUUCAAGUUCUUUAGGGCCAUAAACAGUUUUUCCAACUCAUUCUUAUUUUUUAGGUUGAUUUCGAGUACUCUGUGGAGAACAUUAGUGAGACAAAGGAUUAGACUGGCGAUGGAACUGCUGCCUCUGUUGUUAUUGUGCAAGGUUUGAUCACUGGACCUUGAACACGAAAGCCUUACACGCAUUCUGUAAUUCAAGCGUUCUCUAAAACGAACGAGCAGUAGAAGGAAUAGUGAUGACCGGAUCUGCUCUAUUUUAAUUGAAGAUCUCUGUGAUAUUGAGGGGCUUAAAGUAGUUGAUGCUUUUUGAAAAUUGUUAUUACGGAUGAAUUCAUUCCUGAAGACGAGUAGCUAAUGAUUGUUAAGGCUUAUUUUCUUAAAGUUCCUUUCUUAACAAGUGUUUCAAUGCUGGCUGUAGUAACAUUUUCAUAUCUUGCAUCUCUCGGGUGCAUCAUGUUCACAUGUUUGAAAAGGCAUUUGUGGUAAAGCUUCAAAGGUUGUACAAUGGCUGUGAAAAGGCAUAUUCAAUUCGGUACGUUUUGGUGUGGUCUCCUAAUGCUAAUAUGAUAUUUUGUAUAGCAAUUAAAAUUUAGGUAUACAAUCUUAAUAUGCAAUAAAUCAUUGUGUACAAAGUUUUCUAUUAAUUAUAUGGUGACUGAAAUUUUAAUUAUCAUAUCAAUCUUAAAUUUUUUUGUAACUCACUUUUACUUUGCUUGUACAGAGUACCUGUUUUGGCUGAUAUGUCUAAUUCGUAGAAAUUCAUUUCCAUCGGUUUCCAUUGGCUUUAGCGCAAACAGAAACAGAGCUCUGGGAAAGAGUUUGACUUCUUGUGGCAUUAUGCCUUUGUUUCUUCAUUCAUCAUAUUUUUCAAAUUCAUGCUCUCAUUCAGAGAGUAAAGCCUUUUCCAGGCUGCUUUGUAGACAAACUUUGACUCCAUUGAUGCAUGACUGUCAUUUAGAUUUUCCAAGAAACUGUUAGAUUGGAGAAGAAUAAGAAGAUAUUGUUAAAAGGGUAUUUAAUUAGCGCCCUCUGAAUUUAGUUUCCAAUAAUGCAUUGAAAUAGUUGGGGAAAGUUAUUGUCUUAAUUAAAUUACAGGUGAUAAGAUGCUGCUUCAAUUUUGGAAGCAUCUCGUAUUGCGAAGAUUUUGCCCACAUGAGAUCCCGUGAUUCUUGACAUCAGGGUAACGCAGGUCAAAUUUCACUUUCAAUAUAUAUCUCUUCUUUACUAUUCUGCCUCUAAAUAUUAAACUUUAGGCAAAUUGUUUCUUGUUUGUGUAAGUUAUCAGGUUAAGGAUACUAAGCAGCUUAAUAGUUCGCCACACCUGGUAUGAAUGAUGGCCAGGAAGAUUAAUUGUUCACGAGCCAAUUUGAUCAGUGUUAGAUUUUUUGCCUCUCUUUGAAAGAUAUGAUCAUCAAAUUUGAGUAGAGAAUCUUUGAAGAGAAUUUUGUUGUGAGAGUUUCACUGUAGUGAAUUUUGGGAGCUUGAACUCACUUGAGUGAGAUAUUAGAGCGUAUUGGGUAUUCGGGUUAUGAGUAAUAGUUAUCCUUCCAAUAUUUGCAAGCUCUCACUUAUUAGUAAAAUCAUCUUCGUAUAUUGACUCUGUUUCUUUGUUGCCAGGAAGAGUGUGAUCUUCAAGGGUUUGAGGAAGUCUUUGCAGUAAAGUUUCCACCACGAGCAAUUGCUACAAAGAGGCAUAUACAUUUGAGUAAUUUGGUUUCAGAUUUACAAGGCGUGUAUAUUUAAUUAGUUUUGAUUAUCAUAUUUAGUCACUCAUUCUGAAACUUUUCUAAUUUUCAAGUUCCUUAGGACCACCACCAGUGUUUCAAGUCUGCAUAUGGCUGCAAAAUAUUGAUGGUCAUAAAAUUAUCUUGAGCCUUGAGGCAUUGCAUUUGAGCACACACAGAAACAGAGCUAAAGGAAAAGAAGACAAUAGAAGAUGCACUAAAUAUAACAAAAGUAUAUUUCUACUUGUGGUUAUUUUAAUUUUGUUUCUCCUGUCAUCAUAUUUGAUUAAUUCGUUUGAAUUCACACUCUCACACAUUAUUUAAAACCAUCUGCAGGUGGCUUGCAAGCUAGUUAAGUUAAUGCAAAAACAAUACUUUAGACAAAGAUGAGCAAGUUGAAGGCAACAAAUGCAAAUUGAAUUUCCAUCAAUAAUUGUCAGGCUGGGGCAGAUAUUCUUAAAAGGGCAUUAAGCUAUCUUAUGAAAUUGGAAAGUUAUCAUUGCUUGAAUGAAAGCACCAUCUUCUGUUGUCAAGGCUUUCCCCACACGAUGAGAUUCUGUGCUUGUUAUCGGCCCCUUAAUUAUUUAUUAAAUCAGGUUUCUGUUAUCAAGUACAUCAUCUUAUUCACCAUUUUAGCUAUAUAUAAAGAUUAAAAUUUCUAACAGUUGUUUCGGAUUCUUGUGUACUCAGGUUAAUAGGGCAAAUGUCAGAAUGAAGAUUGUUCAGUGCAACCGGUAUAGCAAGGAUGAUAGUGGUGAGGAAGAUUGUUGGCAAGCCAAAUAGAGCCCUCCAUUUUGAGAAAUGUCAUCCUCAAAUUUGAAUUGUUGAGCAUGUGAAGUGAAGCUAAAGCCUUAAUAAUUAGACCUUCCUGUAAAAGUUUCAUUUGAGUGAAUUGAACGUUCUUAGUGAUUUUGGUUGUCAGUGAAUGUUUUCCUUUAAUAUUAAUACACUGUCAUUUCUUAGUAAAUUCUCUUCAUAUCACUUCCUCCUUGUCGUUCUUAUGGAAAUACCUUCCUGUUUGACUUGCAAAAUACAUUACAAAAGCUCCCAAACAGUAUAUUUGAACAGAGUUACCCAUUUUGAGAAUUUUGACUCCCAAAUAAGCCUGCAGAGUGGUGUAUGGUCGGAUUAGCUGCAGGAGCAGUGCAAGAUUCUUGUCAAACUAUCUGGCUGGUAAAAAGACUGUUGUCAAACUUCCUUUUUAUUCCUUUGUUUACUUAUUCGUUAUAAAUAAAGUAAAAUUAGAAUAUUGUUCCGUUUACUGUCUAAGCCGGUCUAACAUUUGUUUAAUUUGGGCAAUUUUUAAUGCCUGACAGGUUACUUCAUAUGCGGCACAAUUUUUACAUUAUUUUUAAUGGCAAUUUUUAAUUCAAUAAAGAAAAGUAUUGUGAAGUAAAAAUUGAAAAGUACAAUCCGUCGAUCAUUUGAUACGUAUUUUUCUUCACAGAACCUCAAUUCAAUAGACAAAAGCUCCUCUUAAUUUUUCUUUUCUAUUUAAAUAAAAGAACAAAAGAAAUUGAUUACGGAGCCAUUAAUUUCCAAGAAUUAAUAAAUGAAAAGGCCCAUAAUUUUUGUUAACCCACCCCACUCUCAAGAAAUAAUUACAAUAAGUUCAAAUUAUUUUUUAAAAAUUGAAAUAAAGAAGAUGUAAUUACAAUAAGUUUGGAGAUUGAAUCAAAUAAAAUAAAAAACCUAAACUAUUAUAUACAAGAACUCUUGAUUCUUGGGGUAUUUUAUUCAUUUUAUAUUAUCAUGGUAAAUUAGUCAAAUAAAACUUAUCUUAAAGCAACCUAAAUGGUCAAAGACACCUAAGUUAAAAAAAUAAAAAAUUAUAUGAAUGAUUUAAUUUAUUGAUUGUCUAUACCUUUUAUUGAUUUAUAUAUUUUAAAAAUAGUAUGAACGUAUUACAAUUAUUUUCUGACAUCAAGGUAGAUUUGUAAAAGAAGUGGGUAGAUUUGUAAAAGAAGUGGAUAGAAAAUAUCCCCGUCCUCAAACAAAUAAAUGAAUUAUCGGUGACGCAUGCUUUUUCCCAACUUUUGUUUUUUACAAUUAUGUAUCACAGUUGUGGAGUAGAAUCAGGGAAAUUAAAAAUGCUAAAAUUAUUGACGCGUGGGGUGGACGACAAUAACCAUAAACAUUUUUCGUGUAGUGUAAGAAGAAUGCAACAACUUGUUUCUUUCAGUAUUUUUGCAACAAAAGUACGUUGAACAACUUUUGAAAUUAUUUCUCUUUUUCUUUGCUAGAAUGGAUGUGAUCGCUUCCCCUCUCCCGGAGCAGCUGAACUCCUUUGCUGCUUGUGACUUACCAUAAAUCUUCAAGCCAUUCAAGCUGUGCUUGAAGAUGCAGAGAAGGCAAGUUGAUAUAAGAUGGUUGCAUGGAAUAAGCAGGGUAUCUUCCGAGGUUAGAAAUUGGGCUACGAGUAUUCGUUUUGGACAUAUAAUAGAGUUUCUAAGCUUGCGAUGAGUCGAACCAAAUGCAGAACAACCUAGGCUGUUAUGCCCUGCGAUUAAGCUAAAAAUUUACUUCAUUUAUAGUCGUUUUUCAGUUUUAAGAUAUUUUUUUAUUUUUCUUGAUUCUUCUAGGAUUUUAAAAUAUUAGAUUUAAGUGCCAUCUAUUUUCUUUCUCUUAUUUAGAUUCGAAGAAUUUUAUUAUCAUAUAAUAUUUUGAAUUUGCUUAGUUUGUUAAAUUUGCCUCCUUUUAGGCUUCUAUAAAUGGGAUUCAAAACCCUAAUUUUGUUCAUUUAAAUUAUUCUCAAUAAAACUUAUUAUUCAAAUCCUGGUUUAUAUUAUCUAAUAGCUUUUUAGUGUUUCUGCAUAAUCAGCUGGUAUCAAAGAAAGUUUGCUUGUCAUCAUGGUGCGAUCACACAAUCAAAGGAGCAAACAUCCCGAAGACAAUGUUUAAGGGAUGUAGGCAACGACUGUGGAGGUUAUCAGAUAGAUGGUCAAAGGAGCAAUCUUGCAAGUCAUGCAGGACGCAUAUAACCUGAGAAUGGUAGCAGACAAAUAUUAGGUUAUCUCUUGUAAGCCAUAUUCAUAAAUGUAUUGAGGGAAAGAUAUUUUUUUCUUGUCUUAAAAGAUGUGUGGGAUGGACGUUACAAUUAAUGGGAACCAUUCUUCUGUUGUUUAAAGAAUGGUCUCUACGAUAGUCAAAUUUUGAUUACUGCAAGUAAUCAGUUAGUAGCAAGCAUGAUGAGAUCAACAAAUCUUACCUUUCUUAAGGAAUUAAUUGAAGAAGAAUGUUGGUAAUUGUUUAAGCAGGUAGCAUUUUUUGGUCAAUUCUUCAAGGAUCGUGAUCAGUCGAUCAAAAAAUUGCAUGUAAGUGCAAAGGCUUGCCUUUUGUUGCAAAGAUAAUAGGGAAAUUCUUACACUAUAAAUGACCAAUAGAAGAAUAGAAAAAAAUUUUAGAUAGUGGAAUGUGGAAGGUAGAAGAGUUUGGGAAAGGUCUUUUGACUCCUUUCUUGUUAAGUUAUAAUGAUUUAUCGUCCAUAGUAAAACAAUAUUUCUCACAUUGUGCUAUCUUUUCAAAAGGUUACAAUAUGUGUAAAGAGGAACUAAUUACACCAUGGAUGGCUCAAAGUUACUUUAAAUGUAGAAGAAGGCAUUGUUUAAAGCAUGGUCUCCACGGAAGUAAAAAUUUGGUUUCCACACGUAAUGAGUCAGUUGCACGUAUGAUGGGAUCAAAAAAUAUUAUCUUCAUUGAGCAAUUGACUGAAGAGGAAUGUUGGUUGUUGUUCAAGCAGUUAGCAUUUUCCGGUCGCUCUUUGGAGGAUGGUGAAAAAUUAGAACCAAUCGUGCAAAAAAUUGCACGCAAGUGCAAAGGCCUGCCUCUUGCUGCAAGGUAACAGGGAAUCUAUAGGGUAUGAUAAAUGCAUAUAUAGUGGCCAAGUCACUCAUUACAUUUCAUCUUGUUGAAAAGUCAGAAGCAAAUGCCAACUUUGCAACUGUUAGCAUGAAGGCUUUGAAGAAGCAAAAUCCAAUUCGGUUUUUGUUAGCCGAAAAGAAAGAAUGGAAAAAGGGGAUGUAUUGAAAAUAAUAAUAAUUAUUUAUUAUAUUUUCAAUUAUUUUAUUCUUUGCAUAGUGCCAACAUUUUUCCUAUAAAUAGUUAAGGAUUUCAUUCAUUUGAAAUCAUCCCAAAAUUGUUAAGCUUAGUUUCUAAGCUUUUGAGAGAAGUGAGAGAAGUGUGUCUGGGGAAUGUAUUUUUCCUGCAGAGUGUGAGAGUACUGGGUAUAUUUGGGUUUCUGGGAAGUGAGAUUCGUUACUCAAAUAUUGUAUUCUAUUAAUUGUUUUGUUAAAUAAACAAUUAUUCUUUCUUGCCUCCGUGGAUGUAGGUUUAAUUACCGAACCACGUAAAUUCUUGUGUCCUUUAUUUUUCAGUAAUUAUUUGGUGCGCUUGAUUCCGCAUUCCGCGCGCACAACAAGUGGUAUCAGAGCCGAAGGUUCGUACUUAGGGGGGAUACGGUACUGUUCAUGUAUACGGUAUUAUAUCCGUAUAUAGUACUAUUCACGUAUAUGGUAUUCUUCACGUAUACGGUACUAUUCACGUAUAUGGUACUGUUCACAGAGGUACUAUUCACGAAUACGGUGGAGACGGCCAUUUGUACUUGGGAGACAGUCUAUUGUAAGUAGUGUGUAUUUUUGCAUGUCUAGGAAAGUUCUGUCAAAAAGGCGAUAAGAGUCUAAGGAUUCUGGUUUUUAAUUGGGACCGGGUUCCCGUCCAGUUUCCUGGGAACUUUCCUGGUGCAUUUAUUCACGCGAAAUUAACAUCAUAGAGGCUGUUUUUCAAGUGGAAAUAGUUCAUUGAGAAAAAUGGUAGAAGGUGAAACUUCCAGAAUUGGGGAGAGAUCUACCGAGACUAUUUCAGGAGACACUUCAGGUGGGAGGCGAGAUUUGUCAAAUCGCUAUUCAGCACCUGUUAUGGGAGGCCAGAAGAUCGAUGUUGAAAAAUUUGAUGGGAAAAUCAACUUCGGCAUGUGGAGGCGCGAAGUUAUGGAUGCCCUUAUUCAAAUCGAUCUUGAUGUUGUUCUGAAAAAUAAAAGACACUUGUAUGAUGAAGAAAUUUGGGAUCGUAUGAAUGAAAAAGCCUGUGGUCAGAUCAGAUCUUGUUUGACCAAGGAGGUGAAAUACUUGGUGAAAGAUGAGGAGUGUGCGAUGACUUUAUGGCUUACAUUGGAGGAGAAGUACCUGGUGAAAAGUCCUGAAAAUCGCCUUCAUGCAAUGAGCCAAGUAUAUGGUUUUCGAAUGAAGCAUGGGGUGUCAAUGCACGAUUAUGUGUCAAGAUUUGAAAAGUUACUUGCUGAUUUGAAGAAUCUUGAUGAAGAUAUUAAAGAUGAAGUCAAGGCUAUGAUUCUGUUACACUCACUACCAGAGGAAUAUAGCCAGUUUGUGACUACUUUGAUAUAUGGGAAGAGUGUGAUCGUCUUCAAAGACGUUUGCACAACAUUGACUAGUUUGGAGAUUCGGAAUAAUGAUAAAAAUUCUGAACGAGCAUCGUCUGAAGCUUUGGUGAGCAGAGAUUGGGCGAUGGAGAAAAAGAAGAAGCGUGGUGGAAAGAAUUCUCGAUCCAAAUCGAGAAGCAGAAAUCUAGCUCGUGAUGAGUGUGCCUUUUGUCAUGAAAAGGGCCAUUAGAGGAAAGAUUGUCCAAAGGCUAAAAAGAGAGAUGGGAAGAAACCAGCAGCAGCAAACAUGGCACGGAAAGAUGAGGAUUCUGAUUAUUCACUAAGUAUCACUCCUGCAGCAUGUGUGGCUAAUUCGAGCGAGUGGAUACUUGAUACUGGAGCAACCUAUCAUUUGUGUCCUAUUAAGGAAUGGUUUGCAGAUUUUCGUAAUCUAGAAUCCGGUGCAGUUGUGAUGGGGAAUGAUAAACCUUGUCGCACAAUGGGGAUAGGAACAAUUCGGCUCAAAAUGUUUGAUGGAAUGGUCAGGGAACUCAAAGAGGUUAGAUUUGUUCCAGAGAUAAAGAAAAAUCUAAUUUCUGUGGGUGCUUUGGAAGAUAAAGGCUACAAGGUUACCAUUGAAGAUGGUACAAUAAAGUUUACACAUAGAGUUAUGGUGAUUCUGCAAGGGGUUCGGCGUCACAAUCUGUACUAUUUGAAGGGAGGUACACCUGAUGAAGCAAAUGUUGUUGAGGCGCACAGUGACACCACCAAGCUAUGGCAUGUACGACUGAGACAUGCAGGAGAGAAGUCUUUGCAAAAUCUGAUGAGGCAUGGACUCUUAAAAGGUACCAAAACCUGUAAAUUAAAUUUCUGUGAGCAUUGUGUAGUAGGCAAGAAAACAAGGGUCAAGUUUGGUACAGCUAAUCACGAAACUCGUGAGAUCCUUGAAUAUGUUCAUAGUGAUGUAUGGGGACCAACCAAGACUGCAUCAAUUGGUGGAAGCCAUUAUUUUGUUAUAUUUGUUGAUGAUUUCUCUAGAUGUGUAUGGGUGUACACCAUGCGAGCAAAGGAUGAGGUUCUAGAGAUUUUCGUGAAAUGGAAGAAAUUGGUGGAGACUCAAACUGGCAAAAAGAUCAAAGUAUUACGAUCUGAUAAUGGGGGUGAAUAUACUUCUGAUCCAUUCUUGCAAGUAUGCCAGAACGAGGGUAUUAAAAGACAUUUCACGGUGAGACAUACUCUGCAACAGAACGGUGUGGCUGAGCGUAUGAAUCGUACUUUACUGAAGAAGGUACGGUGUAUGUUAUCUAAUGCUGGUUUAGAUAAAAAGUUUUGGGCUGAAGCUGUGAGCUACGCAAGUCACUUGGUAAACCGAUUGCCUUCUGCUGCAAUUGGAGGUAAAACUUCUAUGGAAAUGUGGUCUGGAAAGCAUGCACAAGACUAUGAUUCCCUUCGUAUAUUCGGGUGUCCAGCUUAUUAUCAUGUCAAAGAUGGUAAACUGGAUCCUCGUGCAAGAAAAGCUAUCUUUGUGGGAUUCAAAGGUGGAGUAAAGGGCUUCAAGCUUUGGGAUCUCGAAGACAAAAAGUUUGUGUGUAGUAGAGAUGUCACAUUUGAUGAAGCUUUAAUGAUAAAAGCUUCAAGUUCUCAGCAGGUGGAGAACAAGACCACAGAGGUAUUGCAGCGGGUGGAGUUUGAUGCAACUCCAUAUGUACUAGUUAGUUCUACAUCAAAGAAUAGUUCAACUAUGGAGGUGACACCUAGAGUUAAAGAAGAGGUUGUUUCUUCUGAUGUCCCACAAAAUGAAGAAACAAUUGAUGAUGAUUUUAUAGCAACAAGGAGGCCAAGAAGAGAGAUAAAGAAACCCGGAUGGCUUACUAAAGAUAUGGUGGUAGCCUAUGCACUUCCAGUUAUUGAUGAUGACAUCCCCAACACUUUCGGUGAAGCAUUACGCAGCAGUGAAAGUGAUCAGUGGAAGCUAGCCAUGGAGGAAGAGAUGAAAUCUCUCCAUCAAAAUCAGACUUGGGAACUUGUAAAGUUACCAAAGCGGAAAAGGGCUAUUGGCAAUAAAUGAGUCUACACCAAAAAGCAAGGAUCUCCGAAUCAAACAACUCCUCGAUAUAAGGCAAGGCUCGUGGCAAAAGGUUUUGCUCAAAAGGAAGGUAUUGACUACAAUGAAGUUUUCUCUCCAGUUGUAAAACAUACUUCCAUUCGUAUCCUACUUGCCUUAGUUGUAGAAUAUGAGUUAGAGUUGGCUCAGUUGGAUGUGAAGACGGCGUUCUUACAUGGAGAUUUGGAGGAGGAAAUCUAUAUGAUUCAGCCUUGUGGUUUCAAAGUUGCUGGAAAAGGAAAAUCGUGUUUACCGAUUGAGUAAAUCUUUAUACGGAUUAGUAUGAACUACGGUUGGCUUGAUCCCAAACUUUGGGUACGUAGGCAGUCGGAUAGAUGCAGCCAAUGUGGAUCCUUUUGAGGAUCAUGUGGGGGAUGUUUGGAACUACGGUAGGCUUGAUCCCAACCUUGGGGUACGUAGGCAGUCGGAUAGAUGCCAGCCAAUGUGGAUCCUUUUGAGGAUCAUGUGAGGGUUCGUUGGUAGUCGGCUCAGAUUUGGCUAAAUCUUCGCCGAGGUGGAGAAUUGUUGAAAAGUCAGAAGCAAAUGCCAACUUUGCAACUGUUAGCAUGAAGGCUUUGAAGAAGCAAAAUCCAAUUCGGUUUUUGUUAGCCGAAAAGAAAGAAUGGAAAAAGGGGAUGUAUUGAAAAUAAUAAUAAUUAUUUAUUAUAUUUUCAAUUAUUUUAUUCUUUGCAUAGUGCCAACAUUUUCCCUAUAAAUAGUUAAGGAUUUCAUUCAUUUGAAAUCAUCCCAAAAUUGUUAAGCUUAUAAGUUUCUAAGCUUUUGAGAGAAGUGAGAGAAGGGUGUUUGGGGAAUGUAUUUUUCCUGCAGAGUGUGAGAGUACUGGGUAUAUUUGGAUUUUUGGAAAGUGAGAUUCGUUACUCAAAUAUUGUAUUCUAUUAAUUGUUAAAUAAACAAUUAUUCUUUCUUGCCUCCGUGGAUGUAGGUUUAAAUUACCGAACCACGUAAAAUUCUUGUGUCCUUUAUUUUUCAGUAAUUAUUUGGUGCGCUUGAUUCCGCAUUCCGCGCGCACAACACAUCUCUCAUAUGAACAUGAUUCUGAAUUUGAAUUUCCAUGAAUAAUUGUUGGGCUGGUGCAGAUAUUCUUAAAAGGGCAUUAAAGCUACCUCAUGAAAUUGGAAGUUAUCAUUGUUGAAUGAAAGCACCAUCUUCUGUUUNNNNNNNNNNNNNNNNNNNNNNNNNNNNNNNNNNNNNNNNNNNNNNNNNNNNNNNNNNNNNNNNNNNNNNNNNNNNNNNNNNNNNNNNNNNNNNNNNNNNNNNNNNNNNNNNNNNNNNNNNNNNNNNNNNNNNNNNNNNNNNNNNNNNNNNNNNNNNNNNNNNNNNNNNNNNNNNNNNNNNNNNNNNNNNNNNNNNNNNNNNNNNNNNNNNNNNNNNNNNNNNNNNNNNNNNNNNNNNNNNNNNNNCCAAAUAGAGCCCUCCAUUUUGUAAAAUAACAUCCUCAAAUUUGAAUUGUUGAGCACAUGAAGUGAUGAUAAAGCCUUGAUAAUAAGACCUUCCAAUGAAAGUUUCAUUUGAGUGAAUUAUGGGAGAAUGAAAGUUCUUGGAAUGAGUGAGAAAUUAAGCAUAUAUCAGCGAUUUGGGUUGUCAGUGAAUGUUUUUCUUUAACAUUAGUACACUCUUAUUUCUUAGUAAAAUUCUCUUCACGUCUUUGACUGUGACGUAGACCAAAAGCUAAACAAUGUAAAAUUAUAUUGUUAUUUCCUUAUGCUUGUUUUGCUAUAUAUCAUUUCUGUGCAAUCAAGAAUGUAAUUUUGUAAUUAUUCAACUCUGCUUCCGCGAACAUGCGGUAUCUUGCAGAUUUUUUUUCUCCCUUUUUCUUUCUGCGUUAAAACUGCAACAAAUGGAAGUGACUGGCUUGAUUUUAGCUCCUGUAAAAAAGUGCCUGGGGCAAUGUCUUUUGUAUCAGCAAGUUAUCAAACAUCAUAGUUUAAAUAUAGAAUCCUGAGUUGCUAUCGAAAAUUCCAGGUCUUUCACCUCUCAGUUUCUUAAAAGCUACAAAGCUUGAUAGAUAUUGACAAAGCAAACCGUCUGCGGGCUGAAAUGCUUCCACGGAUCAGGAAGGAAUUUGGUGUUGACACUAUAUGUUAUGCGGAUAACUACAGUUGAUAGUUUUGACCCAAAAUAUGUCACAGUUGACAAUUGACUUACAGUGUUUCCUUGUGUUACCAGGCUCUCAUGUGUGAAUUGAAAGAUUAAGAAAGAUUAAUUCUUACUGACUUAUGCAAUUGAAGAUUAUGAAAAAGCAUUUGCACUAAAGUUCCCAGCUUGUUUAAUUGCUGUGAAGAGGCACAUUCAUUCUGAGUACUUGAGUUUCAGAUUUCCAAGAUGUGUAAUUUUAGUUGCCAUUGAAGUAUUUAGUCGCUCAUUCUUAAAAAUCUGUUCCAAUUUUCCUGUUAUUUUGGGCCAUAAACAGUUUAACAAGUCUGCAUGUGGUUUCUAAAGAUUGAUGGUUAUGAUAAAUAUUGUGAGGUAUGAAAUAUUAAAUUGCUAUAAAUAUGUGUACAAAUUUUUCCUAUUACAUUGGGAAUGAAAUUGUAACUUGCGGGUCAAAAGAAAUCCUAAUUUGCUUUAGGUAAGAAAUCUUAAUUUGCUUAAGUGUCUGCAUUUGUGUACAAAGGAAAAAUAAGAAAUUCUGCUACAUGGGGACCGAAAAUUUAAUUGGCAGGGUCUUCAUCAAAUGUUUGUUAUCAAUACUGAUCCCGGAAUGUAUGGAACACCGUGAAAAGUUUUUCAUAGUUUCGUGAAGAAGGCUGAUUUAUCUGAUUCAUAGAUUUGUUAAAAGCGCAUCGGGCGGGGGACAAAAGAAGUGUUGAAAUUGAAAAGGUUAAUGGUUGAAGCAUGCAGUGUUGCAAUUAAGUUAUUAUUGUCUUGAAAUAACAGGAGAUGAUAAGAUGCUGCUUAAAGCAUGCAGUUUCUGUUACAAUUGUAUUGGCCUGGGUUUAGGGAACUGUCAGAACUUUCAGAAGAAGAUGGAGUUUCUCAAACCAAAUCUAAGAAGAUAUCUCACAUUCCCCACAUGGUCUCAACGCACAGGUAAGUUUCUUCUCGAGCUCUGUUUUUCAUUGUUCGUUAUUUUUAAUGUAAAUAAGGAGCAGAGUUAAUCUCUUAUCUUGACUUUGCUUUGAGAAAACUACUAUUAUAUCUAUUUUUAAUUCACAUGUCCACAGUAAUUUCAUUCUAGUUUGAGCUGAGUGAUAACUGUUCAAGGCUCACUUACUCAUUGGGAGAAGCUCCAUGAUGCAGGCUGCUAGGAUUAGCUUGUACAAUUGCUGUGAAGAGGUACGUUUGGUUGCGAUCAAAAUUAUUAGUCUCUUGUUCUUAAUGUUUUCUGAUUUUCCAGUUCUUUAGGGGCCAUAAACAGUUUUCCAAGUACUGCAUGUGGCGGCAAAAGAUUGAUGGUGAUAAUUCUAUCUUGUGGCAUGUGUGUUGCAUUUGAGCACACGCAGAAACAGAGCUCAAGGGAAAGAAAUUGGAAGAUGCUCUAAAUAUAACAAAAGUAUAUCUCUACUUGCGGUCAAUUUAUAUUUGUUUCUUGUGUCAUUAUGCAGAUUAAUUUAUUCGAAUUUAUCCUAUCUCAUUCAUUUAUUUUGGACAUAAGUUCGAAAAAAAAAAAUUUUAAGCAUACAGUUUCCAAUGGAUUUGAUAGAGUGGUCACAUGGCAUUUUGAUGUUGUUGGAGUAGCACUGUUCUUAAGCACGGCUUUGAGGUAUCUCCCUCUCUCUUUUACGUAUUUGUUUAUCGAUCUACAUCUCUAUAUGCAUUGAUAGACUAUUCUUGCCGUACAAAAUUACUCUUGUUUUAGUGUUUUGUUUGUUGAACUUUGACUGGGGAAUCUGUCUCUUUGUCUGAUAUGAUGUUAGUGUAUUGAAGUGUGUUAGAUCUAUCACCGAGUAUUAUUUCAAUUUUUCUUUACUUAAUCAACUUGCAUCCUUUCCAAGUCCAGAUCCUUAACAAUAGUGAGACUUCGCUACAGAAGCACAAUUUCUCUUGUUUUACAGUUAAAUAUGCAAGAAUGGUUUUAAAUUAACAGAACGCUUGAGAUAGUUCUCUGAGGAAAUGCAAGUGGUGAACAUGGUUCCAACUUUUAAGAGCCUUAAUAUACCCAUUUGUUCAGCGCUGUGUGUAAACAAUCAGUAUUGCGGUUUACAUUCUUCUUUACUGCCUAUAUGUCUUGGACUUUGUCUCAAAUGGAUUCCAUGCGGGGUUUUGAAUGUCCAAUUAGGAGAAAAAUCAAGGCUUGCUUGGCCAGGAGUGGAAGCGGAUCCGCUACUUCAGUCAGAUGAACUUUUGAAGAAGGCUUACAACAGGCCAUCUCGGGAUGUCAAUGGCUCAACUCAAAAGUCAUUGAUGUCAAAGAAUGCCAUUGUCUCCGGGCUUGGGCUCCUUGGCAUCAAACAAGGGAAUGUCGACUCUGUUGAAGGGGAAACAAGGGCUCCUAAAGUGCGAAGACAGAGGAUAGUCCGGAAGAAUUAAGGUGACCGCAUAAAUUUCUUGGAGUUAAUCUUGUCAAUUGCCCAAUUUUGCUGCCUGCCGAACAGAUACAACGCGGAAGUCCUCAUCAAACCUUUGAGACAUCCAAGAACUAGUAGGAGGAGGUGGUAUUCACCCUGUUUCCUGGCAAGUAUAGUUCACUACUUCACUGAUAGAGGGAUUCUUUUCUUGAUUUCUAAAUACCAUAUGUGAUACAACGUGGUAUAUUCCAAUUUUUCUCCAGUUAAAUUCUAGUAAGUUAAAAAAGUUAAUUUUGUUUUUGCGACGAAUUGUUCUCUUAAUAAUAAUAAUUGCAUGUUGCUUUGGAAUCUUAUUCACUCUCAGUAACCCAAUUAAAUUUUGCAAAAUUUACUGCAGAUUUGUCAAACAGUGUCUUUGUGAUGACACUUUUGAUCGCAAAUUUCAAUUUGAAGUAUCAUGUAACACCAAAAAACCAUAACUUGUAAUUACUUGAUCAUACUUGACUUCCUAUUUAGGUUCUGUUUGGAAUUGAAGUGUUGUAGCUACAACUAUCUUGUGGAAAAAAAAAAGUUAGAAUUAUGAAACAAAAGUUAAUAAUAUGUAGUAAAUAUAAAUUUUAAAUAAUUAUUUUGAUAAAAUUAUUAAAGAUAUAAUAGAUUUUCCAUCAUAUAAGUGAAAAAUUAGAUCAACAUAACUUCUAAAUUAUAGCAAUUAGUGUUUACCAAAUACUUUAGUACUGUAACUUUUAAGUUACAGUUGUACAAUUUCAAUUCCAAACACGCCCUUAGUACUACUGUGUUGUAGUUAUAGUUAUUGUGAAAAAAGAACUAAAACUAUAAUAUAAAUGUUGAUCGUGUGUCAUAUAUAUGAUUUUUAAAUAAUAAUUUUGACAAAAUUAAUAAAUAUAUUAUUGAUUCUUUUAUACUCCCGGUUUAAUUUUUAAGUCACAAUAUUAAAUAUUUAUUAAAUAUUUUGAUACUGUAACUUAAAAACUAUGCUCUACGACACUCUUAUCUAAUUUUAUUUGUACUUUCUAGCUCGAUUAUACAAAUCCUUACUUGAUGUACUUGACCAUACAAGAUGUUACUUAACUUCACUUAAUCUUACUCGACUUUAAUUGUAUAUUUUAUACCGAAAUUUUUGUCAAAAAAAAUUGGUCCCAAUUCCAUGCUCCUUCGGGGAUCCCAGCAAAACAGUAACUUCCAUUCAAAAGGGUUCCAUGUUGAGUGCAUGUAAUCUACACAAGUUUGAGAAGAAAUAACCAAAAUAAAUAAAUAAAAGAAACCCACGUCCAAAGAUGCCGUUGAAAGUUGAAACAAAAAUUUAUUAUUGAUACGAGAAAAGAGUUUAUUAUUUUCUUAACAAAAAUUUAAGCUAAGACAAAAAUAAUGCCCAAAACACCCUUCUCAUGAUCCCAAACUUUCUAAACUCCCCCAUUCCUCUGAGCAUCAUCUCUCCCAAAUCUUUCUUCCCCCACAACCAGCCAUGGCUUCAAAUUCAAUUAGCUCAACACUCCAAUGUUGCUUGUAAGCCACCCACAAAUCCUCAACUUCACAUGGACUCAAAACCAAACCCUAGCUUCCUUCCCACACAUCCUCAUUAUCUUCAUCGUUACUUACCUCCCUCACAUCCAUCCUCUGCCACACAUCAACAUCAACAUCAACAUCACCAUCAUCAUCACCUCUCAUUGGACCCCACAUUCUCAGAUCCAUCACAGCCAUCCAUAAUCUCACCCUCCUCCUCUUCUCCCUCAUCAUGGCCGCUGGUUGCACCCUCUCGAUCAUCCUCCACUCACCUCACCUCCACUACUUCCCCUGUUUCCCCCCUACCAUUUCUCCCUCCGGCCCCCUCUGCUUCUACGCUUACGUUUUUAACUCUAAAAAAUACUCGAAUUCCCAGACACCCUUUUGAUCAUUUUGUCAAACUCCAUCCAACGGCUCACGUUCCUCCACGUCUACCACCAUGCAACCGUCGUUGUAAUGUGCUACAUUUGGUUACAGACGAAGCGGUCUUUGCUUCCUAUUGCGCUUGUUACCAGUGCAAGUGUGCAUGUGAUCAUGUACGGGUACUAUCUAUUGUGUGUUCUGGGGUUGCGGCAGAUUGGUCACUGAUUGUCAGAUUGUUUAGUUUUGCUGUUUUGGUACUGAUGCUGAAUUAUCAUUUCACGGGAUUUGGUUUCCCUGGGAUUUGGGGUUGGUGCUUCAAUGCUGUGAUUAAUGCCUCCCUUUUGGCCCUUUUUGUUAAUUUUCAUUACAAGAGCAUAGAAGUAAAUAAUUGAAUUAACUAUUAUUAUCUACAUUAAUGUGAUGGAACACAAGCCACAUCAACUAGAAUUAGAUUAUGAAUUUUAGCAGCCCCAGCAAAAAACAUUUAUGAAAGANNNNNNNNNNNNNNNNNNNNNNNNNNNNNNNNNNNNNNNNNNNNNNNNNNNNNNNNNNNNNNNNNNNNNNNNNNNNNNNNNNNNNNNNNNNNNNNNNNNNNNNNNNNNNNNNNNNNNNNNNNNNNNNNNNNNNNNNNNNNNNNNNNNNNNNNNNNNNNAUGGGCCUAAGUCUUUGAUUUUUUAUUUUGUUAAUUUUUUUUUAUUUUUUACUUGCAAUAGUAACUUCAAUUAUGAAUCAAAGUCGCCAAAUCAAAAUCGCUGCAGCCUGUAGCUACAAGCAAAAUUCUCAAUUAUUGAUCAGAAAGCUAGCCCCAGACGGUGACUCCUGUGGGGACUCCUUUAAUUUGCAGCACAAAACAACGUUCACAUUGACAUUGACUUGAGGGUAAAAAUUAAAUAUCUCCUAUUAGUAUAAGAAGAAUGCAAACAUGCUUGAAUCAACAUUCUCACAGAAUCACUAAAUUCUCAAAUUUUGAAAUACCUAACAAUUACAUACUAGCUAUAAAUAAAUAAAUAAAAAAUUGUCUAAAAUUAAUUCCCAGCUAACACUUGAAAUUUGAAUUUGGGCCUCAUGAAGAUUUACCCCGAGCUCUACCCCUGGAUAUGGAACAAAAUAUUAUUAGUUUUGCUAGUGAAAUUGCCAAUUAUGUUUUUGUUUUGUAUUUUCCGCUUAGGGAAGAAGAAAUUUCCUACAAAUUUUGUGGUGAAUAUCUUGUGAAUAUAUGACAGUUUAAUCUUUAGUCACCACUUGUUUAAAAUAAAAAAGAGAAAAGGAUAUCUAUAUCCCCAUGGUUUGGAGAAAUAGUCACCAACACCCCAAGUUUUCUAAAAAUGACAUCAAGACUCUCUUUUGACCAUAAUACUCUUUACCUUUAGUAUCCCGAAAAAUUUAACUUGCAAAUUUUUAGUAAACACAAAUAUUAUAUAAAUAAUGUAAUCUAUGUAGUAGAUUAAUAAUAUUAAAAUAAAUUUAAAUAUGUAAAUUAUUAUAUUUAUUUUAAUAAUAUAUUUGUAUUUAUUGUAGAGAUUUUAAAUAAAUAUUUGCAUUAAAUACAUUUUACAAUUAAAAAAGUCUCACAUACUAAUAAUAUUAAAAUUAUUAUUUUUCAUAAUAAUUUAAAUUUUAAUACAUUUAUUUUAAUAUUAUAUUUCUAUUUAUUAUAAAAAAAAUUAAAGUUAACUUUUGGGAUAAUAAAAGUAAAGGGUAUUGUAGUAAAAAAUGAGUUUUAGUGUCUCUUUUUGAAAACUUAGGACUUGGAAGCGUUGGUAACUAUUUUUCCAAAAUUUGGAGAUAUAGAUAUCCUUUUCCUAACAAAAAAUGACAUUUUUGAUAGGAGAUAUAAUAAGUUUUGUUCCUUAAAAAAAUCCAUCAGAUAUAUUAUGCCCCCGGUUGCUAUUGUUAAAAACAAGUAAUUCUUCUUUUUGUAUAUUAAAAUAGUAAAAGGGUGGAUAAUAUUUAAAAUAUUUUUUUAACCUUUUAUCUUUUUUGACAUUCGAAUUUUAAACUCGAGAAGUCAACCAAAUAGACUUCUUGAGAGGUUAACUAAAUUCUUAGUAAUUUAAUAUAAUAUCAUAACCGUUCUUCAAAAGCAAUUUUAUAAAUCAUUGUGGAAAAAUUUUAUUCCUUAGUUAUCUUUCGCAUAUUUUAAUUCUUUGUAAUAUGAGGUAAGUCCGUAGACAAUAGUAUGAUAUUUAUUAAAAUCAUUAUGGGACAGAUUUUAUUCUUUUUUUUUUUCUCAACAAAGUAUCCGACUGUAGAUAUAAUAAAUUACUAAUUAAAAUUAUUCGAGUCACACUCUAAAUUAGAUUUUAAAGUUUGUCAUGACAUAAUAAAGUUACAUUCUCAAAUGACCAAAUCAAUUAAUGAGAUAAUGGCUUUUGCUUUUGCCUACCUGACAAAAAGAUGUUGUCGGCCAAGUUGAAAAAUAUAGUAAAUAAAUUUCACUUGCACGUUCCAGAUCGAUCACAUACAAAUUUGUACUGAAAUUCAUAAUGGAUUAAUAUGAUUGGGCGAAAUUACUCCAUAUAAUUUCAUCAAUACCUAUUAAACGAUAAAAAAUUUAUUAAUAUUUAUAAUUAAAAAAAUCUAUCCACUAAGACUAUUCUAGAUCAACAAUUAAUAUAUUAUAUAUAACUUCAAAAGGUUCAUCGGUGGAUUGAUUUAAGCCCUUUGUUGUAGUUUAUAAAUAUUUUGUUGCUUAUAAUGUAAGAAAUUUUAUAGGAGCUGAUGCUGAGUAGUCUGAAUAAGAAAAUUAAUUAUAUUUAUAAGUUAUUGGGUAUCCAUAAUAAAAUAAACAAAUAAAAAAUGAAUAAAAAUUUAAAUACUUAAUUAAUUUUUAUCAAAUUCUUAUCAAAUAUUUAAAAAAGUAUAUAAAAUCAAUUAAUUGAUGGUAUUAUUAAUUUUCAUGAUGAUUUUUAAUAUUAUAUUAGUGAUUAUUAAAUUUAAUACAAUCAAUAAUGCAAGAAAUGAUUAAAUGGUCAAUUUUAUUGACAAAUUAUCAAAUAUGCAAAGUAAUGAAAAAUUAAUCUCAAGAGUUAGUAGAAGUAAAGUUCCAAUUUAAUCAGAUGAUAGAUAAUAAAGUUCCACUACUGUGUGAUAUCGAUGAAGUCGCAAAAUUAGUCUAAUUCCAUACUUAAUCCUAGUAUCCGAACAUGGCCUGAUAAAAUAGUUUAGGUAAUAUACUUCUAUGACUCACAAUUUAAAUAAAUUUGAGAAUUUAUAUAAGGGAUGGAAAAUUCACAAUAAUCAUAACAUGUGCUAUCUUUUCUUCCUUUUCUUAAUUAAACACGAUGAAGUCGCAUGAAGUCGAUGAAGUCAAUAACCACUGCUGUGUGAUAUCGAUGAAGUCGCAUUCGCCUACCUAAUAUUGCGCAAUUAGAUAGAAAAAACGGUCGGCUGCAUGAUUUUUCCAACUUUUGUCUUAUUUUUCUCUUUUCCACGACAAAUUAAUUUGAGAAUGUUACAUUUUCCAAUUCUCUUUUUGUCGUGACCUAAUAGACUAAAACGGAAUCACAUACUUUUUCAAAUGACCAAAUGGCUUUGGCCUACCUGAUAAUAAAAGGAAUGGAUCCAUACGUUAGUAUGGAUAAAUUGAAAAAUAUAAUAAAUAAAUUGUCAGGAGACGAUUUUAUCAAAAAUUUCACUCGCACGGUCCCGACCAAAUACAAAUUUGUGAUGAUAUUCAUAAUGAAUUACUCUAUACAGUUUCAUCGAUAUAUAUUAUACCAUUAAAAAUAUACUACUAUUUAUAAUAAAAAAAAAUUAUGACUAUUCUAAAUCGACUGUAUUAUAUGUGAAUUCACAAGAUUCAUAGAUAGAUUGCACUGAGCUUUUUGUUGCAGUUUACAAAUAUUUUGUUACUAAUUAUCUUAGGAGCGGCAAGUAACUAAAUACAAAUGUAAGAAAUUUUACAAGUUGCUGAUGCUGUGUACUCCGCAGAAAGCUAGCCCCAGACGGUGACUCCUGUGGGGACUCCUUCAAUUUGCAUCACAAAAGAACGUUCACAUUGACAUUGACUUGAGGGUAAAAAUUAAAUAACUCCUAUGGUACGUAUAAGAAGAAUGCAAACAUGUUUUUUUUUUUUUUUUGAUUACAUGAGACUAUUGCUCAAAUUACAGUUCAAAUUACAACUCAUAUUACAUGAGAGUAUAAUUGAUAUGUACAAUCAUAUAUUUAUACUGAGCCCUAUUGAUAUGAAUACUGAUAUGACAUCGCUCAGAUUUUUAACCCUCUCAAAUAUUCGAGGGAUGUCAAACUCCCAUCCUGGGAGAAAGACUGUCUUCACUCGAGCUCAAGGGCUCCAAGAAAGAAUAUUUAAAUUAAACCCCUACAAUGCGACUGCGGAGGCUCGAACCCCUUCCCUCACAUUUGUGAGGGAGGGGCUCUAGCCACUUGGGCUAAGCCCAAGUGGUUAGAAUGCAAACAUGCUUGAAUGAACAUUCUCACAGAAUACAUAAAACCUACUUUCCUCUGAGCAUUUUAGCAGCAAGAAAAGCAAUUGCAGCAUUUACCAUUUGAUCUAAUAUCAGAAUGGCUCAUGCGAUCGUUUCCUCUCUCCUGGACCAGCUGAAAUCCAUUGCUCAAGAUCAGGUGAAAGAAAAGUGGAGGCUUGUCACGGGUGUCGAACAUGAAGUGGGAAAGCUUACCACCAAUCUUCAAGCCAUUCAAGCUGUGCUGGAAGAUGCAGAGCAGAGGCAAAUGAAGCAGGACAAAGCUGUUACUUUUUGGCUGGAUCAGCUCAGAGACGCAUCCUACGACAUGGAAGAUGUGUUGGAAGAGUGGAUCACUGAAACACGGAAAUUGCAGCUUGAUGAGGGAGGCGAUGAUGAUGAUGAUGAUGAUAACGACAGUGCUUUUGUUACUUUUUUGACGAAGGUAUGUUCCUUCUUUCCUGCUGCCUCAAACUGCUUUGGUGGUUUCAAACAACUCAGUCUUCGUCAUCAUAUUGCUGUCAAGAUUAGAGAAAUCAGUAAAAGGCUAGAUGAAAUUGCCACUCGAAAAGAUAGGUUUAAUUUUGUUGAGAAUGUGAGUAACAAUGUUAGGAAUCCAGAGCGAGUGCGAACCAUCUCCUUGAUUGAUGAGGGAGAGGUUUGCGGUAGAGUUGAGGAGAAAAAUGAGCUCUUAAGCAAGUUGUUGUGUGAAAGUAGUGAACAACAAAAAGGCCUUCAUGUCAUUUCACUAGUUGGGUUGGGGGGUAUAGGUAAAACCACUCUUGCACAAUUGGCGUAUAAUAAUGAUGAGGUGAAAAGAAAUUUUGGCAAAGUUAUAUGGGUGUGUGUAUCAUACACUUUUGAGGAGAUUAGGGUCGCCAAAGCAAUCAUUGAAGGUCUAGGCGUGUCAGCUUCUGGUUUAAGCGAAUUCGAAUCUCUUAUGAAACAGAUUCAGAAAUAUAUUACGGGGAAGAAAUUUUUUCUUGUUUUAGAUGAUGUGUGGGAUGGAGAUUACAAAAAAUGGGACCCAUUCUUUUCUUGUCUAAAGAAUGGCCACCAUGAAAGUAAAAUUCUAAUUACCACACGUGAUAGGUCAGUUGCACUGCAGUUGGGAUCAAUAGAUAUUAUCCCUGUCAAGGAGUUGGGUGAAGGGGAAUGUUGGUUACUGUUUAAGCAGAUAGCAUUUCUACGUAGGUCCUUUGAGGAUUGUGAAAAAUUAGAACCAAUCGGGCGAAAAAUUGCAUGUAAGUGCAAAGGCCUGCCUCUUGCUGCAAAGGUAAUAGGGAAUCUCUUGCGCUCUAAAAGUACAGUAAAAGAGUGGCAAAGAAUUUUAGAGAGUGAAAUGUGGAAAGUAGAAGAGAUUGGGCAAGGUAUUUUGGCUCCUUUGUUGUUGAGUUAUAACGAUUUACCCUCCAAUUCUAUGGUAAAACGGUGCUUCUCAUAUUGUGCUGUCUUUCCAAAAGACUACAAUAUGAAGAAAAGGGAAUUGAUUAGUCUAUGGAUGGCUCAAGGUUACCUUAAUGCAGAUGAAGAUGAAGAAAUGGAGAUGAUUGGAGAAGAGUAUUUCAACAUCUUAGCAACACGCUCUUUCUUUCAAGAGUUUGAAAAAUAUUAUGACAAUGAUGAUAUUAUGAGUUGCAAGAUGCAUGACAUAGUACAUGAUUUUGCUCAAUUUGUAAGUAGCAAAGAAUGUUUGUGGCUAGAAAUUAAUGGUACCAAGGAAUCAGUCAUAAACUCUUUUGGUGACAAAGUCCGUCACUUAGGGUUAAAUUUUCAAGGAGGCACUUCAUUUCCUAUGUCCAUUCAUGGACUUAAUAGAUUGCAUACCCUAUUAAUUUAUGACCAAAGUCCUGUCAAUUCGUCUCUUAACAGUAGCAUCCUUCGGGAGUUAUUUAGUAAAUUGGCAUGUUUAAAGGCAUUAGUUAUAAGCCAAUAUAACACUUUAGGUUUGCAUCCUGAGACAGAAAGGAUUAGAGAAAUUCCAGAAAAUGUUGGAAAAUUGAUACAUUUAAAAUAUCUUAAUUUGUCUGAAUUAGUCAUAGAGAGACUACCUGAGACUUUGUGUGAAUUAUAUAAUUUACAAAAGCUAGAUAUUAGGCUGUGCCGAAAUCUUAGAGAAUUGCCAGAGGGGAUUGGGAAGUUAAUGAACAUGAGGAGUUUACUGAAUGCUGAAACUCGUUCGUUGAAGUACAUGCCAAUAGGGAUUUCCAAAUUAACCAGUCUUCGAACAUUAGAAAAGUUUGUUGUGGGUGGAGAUGUUGAUGGUGGCAGCACGUGUAGGCUUGAAUCUCUGAAAAAUCUUCAACUCCGUGGUAAAUGUAGUGUACAAGGGCUGAGUAAUGUAUCGCAUGUAGAUGAGGCUGAGAGGUUACAACUUUACAAUAAGAAAAACCUCCUUCGUUUGCAUCUUGAGUUUGGUAGAGUCGUAGAUGGGGAAGGCGAAGAAGGGAGGAGGAAGAAUAUUGAGAAAGAUAAACAACUUCUUGAAGCCUUACAACCGCCUUUGAAUGUAGAGGAAUUAUGGAUUAUAUUCUACGGAGGCAACAUUUUUCCCAAAUGGUUGACUUUGCUAACCAAUCUAAGGGAACUAAAACUCUUCUCGUGCGUUAACUGUGAGCAUUUGCCUCCACUGGGAAAAUUGCCUCUGGAAAAACUCGAACUAUACAAUUUGAAAAGUGUAAAAAGAGUGGGUAAUGAGUUUUUGGGAAUAGAAGAAAGCAGUGAGGAUGGCCCGUCUUCUUCUUCAUCAUCACCAUCAGUUAUUGCCUUCCCCAAAUUGAAAUCACUCAUAAUUGAGGAAUUAGAUGAAUUGGAAGAGUGGAAUUACAGGAUUACGAGGAAGGAAAACAUCUCCAUCAUGCCACGUCUUUCUUCCUUGCAGAUUUCUUAUUGCCCCAGAUUAAAGGUGCUGCCGGAUUACCUUCUUCAAUCGACGACACUGCAGGAAUUGAGGAUUGAGCGAUGUCCUCUUCUGGAAAACCGUUAUAGGGAGGCGAAAGGAGAAGAUUGGCAUAAGAUAUCUCACAUUCCCCACAUCCAUAUAUCACCCCACGGUAAUUUCUUCUCCUCCUCUGAUUUACUCUAUUGUUGCUUGCAAUGAAAUUAAUAAAAAUAAUUAUAUUUUGAAUUAAAAUUCUGUAUAUUGCCAAUGUGUGACAGGAAUAUAUAAUAUAUUUCUAAUAUUUUGAUUUGCAUAUUGAAUUUAACUAUUUACUUCAGCCAUUAAUUAAUGGGUCACUCUAUGAUAUUGUUAUAAAAAUUAUAGAAUCAAUCGUGUUAUAAAUAUGUACUGUUAGAUUUAAUCAAUAGUUCAUAAAGUUAAAAGUUAGUUACGAUAAUAUUUAAUUUCAGUUAUUUAAAAUUUAAACUUCCUAGUUAUCAAAUCUCUUAAACUUGUUUUCUAAAGAUUAAAUAAUUAAAAAAAAAACAAGUGUAGUAUGUUGAAAUUUCUAUAUUUUUUAAAAAAAAAUAUGUAGUCUUUUGUAAAAUUUCAUACAACAUCAUAGAAAAUCCUAAUGUAUUUUAUUUUUUAAUGCACGAAAAUUUGUUAUGUGCAACUUCCUGAGAGACAAAAUCUCUGUGAUACAUUUGCGGAAAUGUUGAAAACUAAAUCAUCAAUUUUAUCUUGUAUAAUGAUAAUCGUAUUUUUUUAUAUAUAAUUUAUGUGACAUUAAUUCUUUAAAGUAAUGGGGUAAUUGUUUUUACAACAUUAGCCCACUUUGUUUUAUUUCAUACGAGUUUAAUUAUGUUCACCAGGGAUUCGAGAAAAAAUCAGAAUAUCCCUCCUUGUUGUUCAGGCGGGAUCUGCUCUAUUGGGUGAGUUUAAAGCAGUUGAUACGUCUUGAAAAUUGUUAUUGCGGAUGAAUUCAUUCCUGAAGACGGGUAUCCAAAGGCGUAUUUUCAUAAACUUCCUUUUUUAACAAAUGUUCCAACGCUUGCAUCUCUCGGGUGCACCAUGUUCACGGGUUAGAAAAAGCAUUUGUGGUGAAGCUUCAAAGCUUGUAAAAUGGCUGUGAAAAGGCACAUUCAAUUCGGUAUGCUUUGGUGCGGUCUCCUAAUGCUAAUAUUAUAUUUUAUAUAGCAAUCUUAAUAUGCAAUAAAUCAUUGUGUCCAAAGUUUUCUAUUAAUUAUAUGGUGACUGAAAUUUUAAUUAUCAUAUCAAUCUUAAAAUUUUUUGUAACCCUAUUUUACUUUGCUUGUACAGAGUACCUGUUUUAGCUGAUAUGUCUAAUUCCUAGAAAUUCAUUUCCAUCGGUUUCCAUUGGUUUUAGUUCAAACAGAAACAGAGAGCCCUGGGAAAAAGUUUUACUUUUUGUGGUAUUAUGCCUUUGUUUCUUCAUUCAUGAUAUUUGUUUCGAAUUCAUGCUCUCAUUCAGAGAGUAAAGCCUUUUCCAGGCUGCUUUGUAGCCAAAUUUUGAUGCCAUCGAUGCAUGAUUGUCAUUUAGAUUUUCCAAAUAAUUGUUAGAUUGGAGAAGAAUAAGAAUAUAUUGUUCAAAGGCUAUUUAAUUAGCACCCUCUGAAUUUAGUUGGCAAUAAUGCAUUGAAAUGGUUGGGGAAAGUUAUUGUCUUAAUUAAAUUACAGGUGAUAAGAGGCUGCUUCAAUUUUGCAAGCAUCUUGUACUGCGAAGAUUCUGCCCACAUGAGAUGCUGUGAUUCUUGACGUCAGGAUAACACAGGUCAAAUUUUAGUAUCAAUAUAUAUCAUCUUCUUUACUGUUCUGCCUCUAAAUAUUAAACUUUAAUCAAGUUGUUUUUGUUUGUGUAAGUUAUCAGGUUAAGGAUACUAAGCCGCUUAUUAAGGCAAAUGUCAGAAUGAAGAUUGCUCACCACACCUGGUAUGCAUGAUGGUCAGGAAGAUUAAUUGUUCACAAGCCAAUUUGAUCAGUGUUAGAUUUUUUGCCUCCUUUCGAGGGACAUCAUCAUCAAAUUUGAGUAGAGAAUCUUUGAAGGAAUUUUGUUGAAAGAGUUUCACAGUAGUGAAUUCUGGGAGCUCGAACUCACUUGAGUGAGAUAUUAGGGAGUGUUGGGGAUUUGGGUUAUGAGUAAUCAUUAUCCUUCCAAUAUGUGUAAGCACUCACUUGUUAGUAAAAUCAUCUUCGUAUAUUGACUAUGUUUCUUUGUUAUCAGGUAGAGUGUGAUCUUCAAGGGUUUGAGAAAGUCCUUGCAGUAAAGUUUCCACCACAAGCAAUUGCUGCGAAGAGGCAUAUACAUUUGAGAAGUUCAGUUUCAGAUUUUCUAGGCGUGUAUGUUUAAUUAGUUUCGAUUAUAAUAUUUAGUCACUCAUUCUGAAUCUUUUCUAAUUUUCAAGUUCCUUAGGGCCACGACCUGUUUUUCAAGUCUGCAUGUGGCUGCAAAAAGAUUGAUGGUCAUAAAAUUAUCUUGACCCUUGAGCCAUUGCGUUUGAGCACAAACAGAAACAGAGCUAAAGGAAAAGAAUUUGACGCAAGAAGAUGCUCUGAAUAUAACAAAAGUAUAUUUCUACUUCUUGUGGUUAUUUACUUUUGUUUCUCCUGUCAGCAUAUUUGAUUAAUUCGUUCGAAUUCACACUCUCACACAUUAUUUAAAACCAUUUGUAGGUGGCUUGCAAGCUAAUUAAGUUAAUGCAGAAGCAAUACUCUAGACAAAGAUGAGCAAAUUGAAGGUGAUAAAUGCAUAUAUGGCGGCCAAAUCGCUUAUUAUAUUUCAUCUCUCAAUCUAAUAUGAUUCUGAAUUUUAAUUUCCAUGAAUAAUUGUUAGGCUGGUACAGAUGUUCUUAAAAGGGCCAUUAAACUACCUUAUGAAAUUGGAAAGUUGCUAUUGCUUGAAUGAAAGCACCAUCUUCUGUUACCAAGGCAUUCCCCACAUGAUGAGAUUAUGUGAUUGUUACCGGCUUCUUAAUUAUUUGUUAAAUCAGGUUUUUCUUAUCAAGUACAUCAUCUUAUUCACCAUUUUGGCUAUAUCAGAAUCUGCUAAUUCCAUGAUGUCAAAGCAAGCUCAAGCACUAGAUCCCUAAUAAUAAUGCAUUGCAUUUUCAUUUUAUUUUUAGGUUGACUUUUAAGACCCUAUGGAGAACAUUGGGGUAAUCAAGGAUUAGGCUGGUGAUGGAACUACUUCCACUGUGGUGUUGUGUGCAACGUUCAGUUGCUGGACUUUGAAGAAGAAAGUGAUGGCCAGGUCUGCUCUGUUUCAAUUCAGGAUGGAUAGCUGCCUGGAAGGCAUGAUGAUUAUUAUUGCAUGAUAUUAAGGUACUAAGAUCAUCAUUUCUGUCUUGUUUUUUUCUUUGAUCGGUUUAUCCUCUAUAAGCAAAUUCAAUUAUGCUAAUAUUACCCUUUUUUCACCCAAUUUUCACUGUUGGUUGUAAUAACAAUUUCAGGUAUUCAAAAGCUACAGAGCAAAGCACAUGUGGGCUGAUCACAUGCUUCCAUGGAGGAAGGAAUUCGGUAUUGACACUAUUAUGCAGGUAACCGCAGUUGUUAAUUUACACAAAUUUGCAUUGUCAGAAUGCCCUUUAAUAUUCACUGUGUUUCUUUUUGUUACUCAGGUUACCAUGGUAGAUAGAGUAUCAUCUUCGAGAGUUUGUAAGAGCCUUUGCAGUAAAGUUACCUGCUCGAGCAAUUUUACAUUCAUCGAGUACAAUUUUGGAUUUUCAAGGUUUGUAUGUUUAGUUGCGAUUAGCAGGCUUAGUCACUCAUUCCUAAUCUUUUCUGAUUUUCAGGUUAUUUAGGUCCAUUAACAGUUUUCACACAUGUUUCAAUGCUAGUUGUAAUAACAAUUUCUUAUCUUGCACCUCUAAGGUGCAUCACGUUUGAAACAGCUUUUGCGGUAAAGUUUCAAUGCUUGUACAAUGGCCGUGAAGAGGUACAUUUAAUUCGGUACGUUUUGGUGCGGUCUUCUAAUGCUAAUAUCAUGUUGUGUAUAUUUAGUUUGCAAUUAAAACUUAGGUAUACAAUCUUAAUCUCCAAUAAAUCAUUGUGUACAAAGUUUUCUAUUAAUUAUAUGGUGACUGAAAGUUUAAUUAUCUUAAAAUUUUUUGUAACUCUCUUUUACUUUGCUUGUACAGAGUACCUGUUUUGGCUGACAUGUCUAAUUAGUAGAAAUUCAUUUCCAUGGGUUUCCAUUGGUUUGAGCACAUACAGAAACAGAGCUUUACUUCUUGAGGUGUUAUGCCUUUGUCUCUUCAUUCACCAUAUUUGUUCGAUUACGUUGUCUCAUUAAGAAUUUAAAGCCUUUUUCUAGGCAGCUUUGUGGCCAAUUUUUUAUGCCAUCAAUGCAUGAUUGUCAUUUAGAUUUUCCAAAUAAUUGUUAGGUGGGGAAGAUAUUGUUAAAAGGGCAUUUAAUUAGCUACGUCCCCUAUGAAUUUAGUUGCCAAUAUUACAUUGAAAUUGAGAAGGAUCAUAGUUGAGGAAAGUUAUUGUCUUAAUUAAAUUACAGGUGAUAAGAUGUUGCUUGAAUUCAGCAUCUUGUAUUGCGAUGAUUUUGCCCACAUGAGGUUCUGUGAUUCUUGACAUCAGGAUAACUCAGGUCAAUUUUUUUGUAUCAGCAUAUAUCAUCUUCUUUACUGUUUUGCCUUUAAAGAAUAAACUUUAGUAAAGUUGUUCUUGUUUGUGUAUGUUAUCAGGUUAAGGAUACUAAGCAGCUUAUUAAGGCAAAUGUCAGAAUGAAGAUUGUUCACCACACCUGGCAUGUAUGAUGGCAAGGAAGAUUAAUUCUUCACAAGCCAAUUUGAUGAGUGUUAGACAUUUUCAGAUUUUUGGCUUUAUAUAUUAUUAGAGCUCUCCCAAUAACUGCAAGCUUUCAUUUGUUUGUAAAAUCAUCUUCUUAUAUUGAUUGUGUUUCCUUGUGUUAUCAGGUAGAGUAUCAUCUUCAAGGGUUUCAAAAAGUCUUUGCAGUAAAGUUUCAACCAAUUGCUGUGAAGAGGCAUAUUCAUUUGAGUAAUUCAGUUUCAGAUUUUCAGGGCGUGUAUGUUUAAUUAGUUUUGAUUAAAAUAUUUAGUCACUCAUUCUGAAUCUUUUCUAAUUUUCAAGUUCCUUAUGGCCACAACCAGUUUUUCAGGUCCGUAGGAACUAUCUUGAGCGUUGAGGAAUUGCGUUUGAGCACACACAGAAACAAGGCUAAUGGAAAAGAACUUGACAGAAGAAUUAUGCUCUAAAUCUAACAAAAGUAUAUUUCUACUUCUUUUGGUUAUUUUACUUUUGUGUUUUCUGUCAUCAUAUUUGAUUGAUUCGUUCGAAUUCAGACUCUUUCUCAUCAUUUAAAACCAUUUUCAGGUGGCUUGCACGCUAAUUAAGUUAACGCAGAAGCAAUACUCUAGACAAAGAUGAGCAAAUUGAAGAUGAUAAAUGCAUAUAUAGUGGCCAAGUCGCUCUUUACAUUUCAUCUCUCAUACGAACAUGAUUUUGAAUUUGAAUUUCCAUGAAUAAUUGUCAGGCUGGUGUAGAUAUUCUUAAAAGGGCAUUAAGCUACCUUAUGAAAUUGGAAAGUAAUUUUGUAAUCAUUUCUGUGCAAUCAAGAAUGUAAUUUUGUAAUUAUUCAACUCUGCUUCCGCGAACAUGCGGUAUCUUGCAGAUUUUUUUCUCCCUUUUUCUUUCUGCGUUAAAACUGCAACAAAUGGAAGUGACUGGCUUGAUUUUAGCUCCUGUAAAAAAGUGCUUGGGGCAAUGUCUUUUGUAUCAGCAAGUUAUCAAACAUCAUAGUUUAAAUAUAGAAUCCUGAGUUGCUAUCGAAAAUUCCAGGUCUUUCACCUCUCAGUUUCUUAAAAGCUACAAAGCUUGAUAUAUAUUGACAAAGCAAACCGUCUGUGGGCUGAAAUGCUUCCACGGAUCAGGAAGGAAUUUCGUGUUGACACUAUAUGUUAUGCGGAUAACUACAGUUGAUAGUUUUUACCCAAAAUAUGUCAGAGUUGACAAUUCACUUACAGUGUUUCCUUGUGUUACCAGGCCCUCAUGUGUGAAUUGAAAGAUUAAGAAAGAUUGAUUCUUACUGACUUAUGCAAUUGAAGAUUAUGAAAAAGCAUUUGCACUAAAGUUCCCAGCUUGUUUAAUUGCUGUGAAGAGGCACAUUCAUUCUGAGUACUUGAGUUUUAGAUUUCCAAGAUGUGUAAUUUUAGUUGCCAUUGAAAUAUGUAGUGGCUCAUUCUUAAAAAUCUGUUCUAAUUUUCCUGUUAUUUUGGGCCAUAAACAGUUAAAAAGUCUGCAUGUGGUUUCUAAAGAUUGAUGGUUAUGAUAAAUAUUGUGAGGUAUGAAAUAUUAGUUUGCUAUAAAUAUGUGUACAAAAUGUUUCUAUUACAUGGGGACUGAAAUUGUAACUUGCAGGGUCAAAAGAAAUCCUAAUUUGCGUAAGUGUCUGCAUUUGUGUACAAAGGAAAAAUAAGAAAUUCUGCUACAUGGGGACCGAAAUUUUAAUUGGCAGGGUCUUCAUCAAAUGUUUGUUAUCAAUACUGAUCCCGGAAUGUGUGGAACACGGUGAAAAGUUUUUCAUAGUUUUGCGAAGAAGGCUGAUUUAUCUGAUUCAUAGAAUUGUGAAAAGGGCAUCGGGCGGGGGACAAAAGAAGUGUUGAAAUUGAAAAGGUUAAUGGUUGAAGCAUGCAGUGUUGCAAUUAAGUUAUUAUUGUCUUGAAAUAACAGGAGAUGAUCAGAUGCUGCUUAAUGCAUGCAGUUUCUGUUGCAAUUGUAUUGGCCUGGGUUUAGGGAACUGUCAGAACUUUCAGAAGAAGAUGGAGUUUCUCAAACCAAAUAUAAGAAGAUAUCUCACAUUCCCCACAUGGUCUCAAUGCACAGGUAAGUUCUUCUCUAGCUCUGUUUUUCAUUGUUUUUUAUUUUUAAUGUAAAUAAGGAGCAGAGUUAAUCUCUUAUGUUGACCUUGCUUUGAGAAAACUGCUUUUACAUGUAUUUUUAAUUCAGAUGUCCACAAUAAUUUCAUUUUAGUUUGAGCUAAGUGAUAACUGUUGAAGGCUCACUCACUCAUUGGGAGAAGCUCCAUGACGCAGGCUGCUGGGAUUAGCUAGUGCAAUUGCUGUGAAGAGGCACAUUCAUUGGGAGAAAUUAAAUUUUAGAUUUUCUUAGUGUGUAUGUUUGGCUGCGAUUAAAAUGAUUUCUCUCGUUGUUAAUGAUUUCUGAUUAUCCCGUUCUUUAUGGCCAUAAACAGUUUUCCACGGGCUGCAUGUGGCGGCAAAAGAUUCAUGUUGAUAAGGCUAAUGCUAAGUUACAUGCAUGUAACUUAGGGAGAUCCUGUUGAUAAUUAUAUCUUGUGGUAUGUGUGUUGCAUUUGAGCACAUGCAGAAACAGAGCUGAAGGAAAAGCAAUUGACCCUAGAAGAUGUUGCAAAUAUAACAGAAGUAUAUUUCUACUUGCGGUCAAUUUACAUUUGUUUCUUGUGUCAUCCUAUCUCAUUCAUCAUUUUGGACAGAGUUUGGAAAAAAAAAAUUAUACGUAAAUCACUUUCCAAUGGUUCAGUGAUUUUUGAUUGGUUGUAAAAUGUUGAACCUCUUUUCAGAUUUCCAAAUAACUGUUAGAUUGGAGAAGAAUAAGAAGAUAUUAUUAAAAGGAUAUUUAAUUAGCGCUCUCUGAAUUUAGUUGCCAAUAAUGCAUUGAAAUAGUUGGGGAAAGUUAUUAUCUUAAUUAAAUUACAGGUGAUAAGAUGCUGCUUCAAUUUUGCAAGCAUCUCGUAUUGUGAAGAUUUUGCCCACAUGAGAUGUCGUGAUUCUUCUGCUUCAAUACAGGUCAAAUUUUAGUAUCAAUAUAUAUCUUCUUCUUUACUGUUCUGCCUCUAAAUAUUAAACUUUAGGCAAGUUGUUUUUGUUUGUGUAAGUUAUCAGGUUAAGGAUUCUAAGCAGCUUAAUCAAAUUUGACUAGAGAAUCUUUGAAUAGAAUUUUGUUGUGAGAGUUUCACUGUAGUGAAUUUUGGGAGCUUGAACUCACUUGAGUGAGAUAAUAGAGUGUAUUGGAGAUUUGGGUUAUGAGUAAUCGUUAUCCUUCCAAUAUUUGCAAGCUCUCACUUGUUAGUAAAAUCAUCUUCGUAUAUUGACUCUGUUUCUUUAUUGCCAGGAAAGUGUGAUCUUCAAGGGUUUGAGGAAGUCUUUGCAGUAAACUUUCCACCACGAGCAAUUGCUGCGAAGAGGCAUAUACAUUUGAGUAAUUUAGUUUCGGAUUUACAAGGCGUGUAUAUUAAAUUAGUUUCAAGUUCCUUAGGGACACUACAGUGUUUCAAGGCCGCAUAUGGCUGCAAAAGAUUGAUGGUCAUAAAAUUAUCUUGAGCCUUGAGGCAUUGUGUUUGAACACACACAGAAACAGAGCUAAAGGAAAAGAAGACAGUAGAAGAUGCUCUAAAUAUAACAAAAGUAUAUUUAGAGCAUUUAAUUAGCUACGUCCCCUAUGAAUUUAGUUGCCAAUAAUAACUUGAGUGUCGAGGAAUUGCGUUUGAGCACACACAGAAACAAGGCUAAUGGAAAAGAACUUGACAGAAGAAUUAUGCUCUAAAUAUAACAAAAGUAUAUUUCUACGUCUUGUGGCUGUUUUGCUUUUGUUUCUUCUGUCAUCAUAUUUGAUUAAUUCGUUCGAAUUCACACUCUCACACAUAUUUAAAACCAUAUGUAGGUGGCUUGCAAGCUUGCUAAGUUUACGCAAAAACAAUACUCUAGGCAAAGAUGAGCAAAUUAAAGGUGAUAAAUGCAAAUCGAAUUUCCAUGAAUAAUUGUUAGGCUGGUGCUGAUAUCCUAAAAGGGCAUUAAGCUACCUUAUGGAAUUGGAAAGUUAUUAUGCUUCAAAGCAAGCAGCGUCUUCUGUUGCGAAGGCUUUCCCCACAUGAUGAGAUGCUGUGAUUGUUACCAGCCCCGUAUUUAUUAACUCAGGUCAGUAUUAUCAACUACAUUAUCAUUUUGGCUAUAUAUAAAGAUUAAAAUUUUGAACACUUGUCUCGGUUUCUUGUGUAAUCAGGCUACUAGAGCAAAUGUUUACUGUCUAAGCACUAAUGCGACAAUCCCAUCUGUAAAUUUGGGCCAUCUUUGAUGUCUGACAGGUUAGCUGUGACAAUCCCAUCUGUAAGUACUAAAGCGCCUGGUUAUGGUGCUUUCAUUGGACUAUAUGCAAACGUGAGAUAUCAGCUAUUGUGUGGAUUUGAUAGAGCGGUCACCAACCAUUUUGAUGUUAUUGGAGUAGCACUGUUCUUAAGCACGGCUUUGAGGUCUCUCCGUCUCUCUUUUACGUAUUUGUCUAUUGAUCGACAUCUCUAAAUAUACAUUGAUAGACCAAAUUACUCUUGUUUUAAUGUUUUGUUUGUUGAACUUUGACUGGGUUAUUUGUUUAUUUGUCUCAUAUGAUGUUAAUGCGGUUCCUAUAAAAGUGGAUAUAGAUCUAUCACCUCAAAGUCUGAUUUCAAUUUUCCUUUACUUAAUCAACUAGCAUCCUUUCCAAGUCCAGAUACUUACCAAUAGUGAGACUUUGCUACGGAAGUACAAUUUCUCUUGUUUUACAGUUAAGUAUGUAAGAAUAGUUUCAAAUUUACAGAAUUCUGAUAUAGUUCUCUAAGGAAAUGCGGGUGGUGAAUAUGGUUCCAACUUUUAAUAGGCUUUAAUAGGCCCAUUUGUUCAGCCACAGUGAUUGCGGUCUAAAUUCUUCUUUACUGUCUAUAUGUGUUGGAGUUUGUCUAUUGUCCAACUUCUCCAAUGGAUUCCAUGCAGGGUUUUGAUGGUCUAAUUAGGAGAAAGAUCAACGGAUGACCUUUUGAAGAAGGCUUACACAACAGCCCAUCUCAGGAUGUCAUGGCUCAGCUCAAAAGUCCCCAGGUGGUUGAUACCAAAGAGUGCCAUUGUUUCUGGGCUUGGGCUCCUUGGCGUCAAACAAGAUAGUCCGGAGUAAGGUGACUGCAUAAAUUUCUUGGAGUUAAUGUAGUCAAUUGCCCAAUUUUGGUGCCUGUCGAAGAGACACAGCAUGGAAGUCGUCAUCAAACUCUGAGACACCUAAGAACUAGUAGGAGGUGGUGGUAUUCACCUGGUGUCUAAAUACUAUAUGUGAUACAACGUUGCAUAUUCCAAUUUUUCUCCAGUUAAAUUCUAGUGAGUUAGGAAAUUUAAUUUUGUUUUAGCUAUGAAUUAUUUCCUAGAUAAUAAUAAUUGCCAUGUUCCUUUAGAGUCUUAUUUACUCCAACUUUAGGAAAUUCUAGUGAGUUAGGAAAUUCUAGUUAGGAAAUUAUGUACCAUCAACCAGUUUUUUCUAACUUUUUUAAAAAUACACUAUUCUUAUUUGACUGACUUGAUUUUACUGACAUAAUUUUCUCCCAUUUCUAUAUUAUCGACGUUGAGUGCAUCUAAUCCACAAGUCUGAUUGAGCCAAAAGUCUAAUGACAAUCACGUCCAAAGAUGCCGUUAUCACAAAGCCCUGGAUAAUUAAAGAGGUCAUUGUUCGAAAGAAAGAAUGAUUUGUUGGUAUGAAAUUACGUUAAAAUGAAUAUAUCACUUUUUUUUUUUGGCGUGAGUGAUGGCUUCGUUUAAUGACAGUUGGCAGACAAUGAGUCAUCUUUUAAUUUUAGUUUUGAUUUAUUAUAAAAUAUUAAUUUUUGUAGUUUCAGUAGAUGAAAUUUCGAAUCAAAUAUUAAUAUCGUUAAAGUACGCAACUCAAUAUUUGCUUAAAUCAUAAAAAAAAUAAUUGCUUUACAUUAAAAAAAAUAACAAGUGAUCACUUGAUUUAACUUCCUUUACUAAAUUUACGAUUUAAAAUCCAAAAUAGAAAAACGAAAACAAUUUUUGAAAUCACACUCGAAGUUUUAAAUUGACAUGAAAAAAGAGCUUAUUAUUGAUUAUCUUUUUCCUAAAAUUUAAGGUAAGAUAACAAUAUGUCCAAAAUACCCUCCGCAUUAUCCCAAAACUUUAUAAACUCCCCCGUUCCUCUGAACAUCAUCUCUUCCAAAUCUUUCUCCCCCAAAAAACCAGCCAUGGCUUCAUAUUCAAUUACCGCAACACUCCAAUAUUUGCUAUAAACCACCCCCAAAUCCUCAACUUCACAUGGACUCAGAACCAAACACUAGCUUCCUCCCCACACUUCCUCAUUCUCUCCAUCCUCACUUACCUCUCCCUCACAUUCAUCCUCUACCACACAUCAACAUCAACAUCACGACCAUCAUCACCUUUCAUUGGACCCCACAUCCUCAAGCCCAUCACAGCCGUCCAUAACCUCACCCUCCUCCUCCUGUCCCUCAUCAUGGCCGUUGGUUGCACUCUCUCCAUCAUCCUCCAUUUACCCCACCUCCAUUGCACCCUCUGUUUCCCCCCUACCAUUUCUCCGUCUGGCCCCCUCUUCUUCUACCCUUACAUCUUCUACCUCUCCAAAAUACUCCAAUUCUUAGACACCCUUUUGAUCAUUUUGUCAAACUCCGUCCAACGGCUCACGUUCCUCCACGUCUACCACCAUGCAACCGUCGUCGUUAUGUGCUUCCUUUGGUUACAGACGAAGCAGUCUUUAGCUUCUUCCCAAAUUCAUCAAUGAACCCCAAAACCAGUCUAAUCAUUAAAAUUAUUAACAACCAUUUGCUUGGAUCAAUGUACACUUGGCAUGUCUAUGGGCUUACUUGGAAUGGUCGCUGAUGGCCAUGGGCUUGCUUGGAUUGGCCGGGUACAGCCAUGGGCUUGCUUGGAAUGCCCGUACCCAGCUGCCAUGGUUUUGCUAGCGUAUCCAUGGGUUUUGUUGGACAUGGCAGUGCGAGGCCAUGGGUGUUGCCGGGCAAUGGACAUGGGUUUUGCUGGGCUGAUUUGGAAUUAACGGUGGCUAUGGAGUUGUAAGUGUGUGAAAGAGAAAAAAAAAAUGAACGAAGAAGAAGAUGAACAGGGAAUAGAACGAAGAAGAUGAAGAAAGUAGAAGAGAGGGAAAAAAUAUUUUACUUUUUUUAUAAAUUUUCCGAUUUUUAUUUCAAAAUUUAAAAUUUUUGUUUAAAUUCGAGAAUCUUAAGGGUAAGAUUUUCUUUGUAUCUAUGUGUAGAAGGAGGUUUUUAGAUGGUUUUUGGUUGGGCUAACAUAAAAUAUGCUUGUUUUAUGAAAUAUUAUUAUUGAGGUUUUGUUUUAUUUUCUAAAAAAUAGAUUAGAGGAUGAUUUUCAUUAAUGACACACAUAAAGUUUGAAUUAGUUAUAUUUUAGAAAUAGUACGGAUAUAAGUGAUAUAUCUUUCCAACAUAAAUAUAUCAGUAACAUAAGUUAUUCUAUAAUUAACAGGGGUAUUAUCGUAUUUUAGUGAGUCAAUAUUUUUUUUAUUUUGUAUCAAUAUUGGUUGAUAGUUAAAUUUAACAGAUUUUAGAGAGUAAAUUGAAGUUUUUAUUUUUUAUUUUUGAGUAAAUUAAAAUAUGUCAAUAUUGGUUGAUAGUUAAAUUUAACAGAUUUUAGAGAGUAAAUUGAAGUUUUUAUUUUUUAUUUUUGAGUAAAUUAAAUUGAAGUAUUUCGGUUCUACCCGAAAUACUUCUUUGUAUUGAAAUCAAUGAUGAUUGCUUGUUUAAAUAAUGAAAGUUGAAAUAAUUUUGUAAAUAAUUUCAUUCUUUAAUUUACGGUAUACAAAUAAAUUCAAAAAAUGUUAAUUUCUCUCAUACUAAUUUUAGGACUCAAAAAAUAACAAAAAGUCUUAACAUAUUUAAUGGUUAUAUAUAAAUCAUCCGUACGUAUUUUAUUUAAGCUAAUAGAGUAAGAAGUCCCAAAUACAUGUACAUCAAUUCGAUAGACAAUGCUCCCCUUAAUUUUCUUUUCUAAUUAGAUAAAAGAACAAGAGAAAUUGAUUACAAUAAUUCACGGCGAAGUCACCUUGGUCUACCUGAUAUAUAUUACAGAGGUUAGCUUCUUUUUAAUGCCAAACUUGAAUAACAAACAUUAAUUUACUUCUUAAAGGGUAAAAACCUCAAUUUGUCCUUAUAUUUGUUCAAAAGAUACAUUUUGUCUUCUUAAUAUAAACAAGUUAAAUUGAUGUUUCACAUCUUUUAGAAAUAAAUUAAAGAUUGUUAUUUUAAGUAGGAGGUAAAUUUCAAAUAAAACAUGUGUUCAUAUGAUAGAUGUGCAUUUUACAAUAAUUAAUAAACAAAAGGGUAGUGAUAUUUUCAACCUGUAAUUUUUGUAAAUCCACCCCCACUCCCAAGAAAUAAUUACAAUAAAUUCACAUAACUUUUUUAAAACUCAAAUAAAGAAAAAUUUUGGAGAUUUAAACUAUUGUAUACAAGAGGAUAAGAGUAAAUAUUUUUCAUGCAGUAUAAAAAGAAUGCGACAGCUCCUUUUCUUUCGGUAUUUUCACAACAAAAGCACACUUAAUAACUCAUCAAAUUAUUUCUCCUUUUCUUUGAUCGCUUCCCCUCUCCUGGAGCUGCUGAACUCCUUUGUUGCUGAUGAAGGGAACAAGUGAGGCUUUUCAAAAGAGGGCAAAGAGAUGGUGAUUCGAUUUGAUUCGAUAAUAGUAGUUUAUUUUAAUUGUUAUUCAUUUGAUUUCAUAGAAGUAAUUUUUAUUUUCAUUUUUUGUUGAAAAUUGGUAAAAACGAACUAAAAUGAGAUAAUUACAUUAAAACAAUCUUCAAUGACUAAAGUAAUUUGAAAAAAUAAAAAUAAAAAUAAACAAGCUCAAAAUUUACCCCUAAUCCGAACAUUAUCCGAAUUCAGCCUAAUUGACCCAAAUCUAAUUGUAAUCCAAACUUGACAUGACCCGCAUAUAAUUAUAACUCGAUCAGAUCCAAACUCGACCUGAAUUUUUAAUUCAAUACGAUCCAAUCCAAAUAUUCCAAUCCCAUCAAAUUGAAACUUGAUCGGGUUGAUCCGAACCCGAAUUUGCCACUUCCGGAGGAGACCAUGACCCUAAAGGCUUUGAAAUAAUCUUUGCGGUUUCUUAAUGAAAUAUUAAAAGUUAUGUGCAAAAAGACUGAUUUGACCCUAGAAUACAUGAUAUAUAAAUUUCAGACAUUAUAUUCUGUGAAAUAAAGUCAAAGUAAACUGGUCGUUUGAUUUUUUUAUUAAUUAUUUUCCAUUAAGACAAAAUGACAAAUAGACUUUUUUAAAAGUUUAAUAAAGUUUGGGCCUAACUCCUUGAUUUUUAUUUUUUAAUUAUUUUUCAUUUUGUUUUUUACUUGCAACAUUAGCUUUAAUUAUCAAUCAGUCUCCAAAUCAAAAUGACUGAAACCUGUAGCUACAAGCAAAAUUCUCAAAUUUUGAAAUUUCUAACGACUACAUAAUAGUAAUAAAUAGAAAAAUCAUCUAAAAUUGAUCCUCCUUCAGAGGCAGAUUAAAUUCUUAGUAAUUUCAUAUAAUUUCAUUUCAUCAGAACAAUUUUCCAAAAGCAAUUUUAUAAAUGGUUGUCGAAAGCUUUAUCCCUUAAUUAUAUUUUAGUUAUUUUCUUUGUGAUAUGAGGCGUGUCCAUAGACCAUAGUAUGAUAUUUAUUGUAAUUAAAAUCAUUAUGGAACUGAUUUUAUUCUUUUUUCUCAAACAAAGUAUCUAACUGCAGAUGUAAUAAAUUACUAAUUGCCAUUAUUUGAGUCGCGCUCUUUGAAUUAGAUCUUGGAGUUUCAAAUGACCAAAUGAAUUAGUAAGAUAAUGGCUUAUCGUUCCAAGAGCUAUGCUAAGAAAAAGCAGGGAUGAUCAGAACAAAUUCUGUUCAUUGCAAUUGACAGAGAUGUUUUCAGUUGCCUAGACUUCGUAUUUUCAGUUUUAGUAAUACAUGUCGUUUUUCACCACAUUUGUUUAGUCUCUCCCUUUUAAAUCCCCUCACACACAAAAAAUUAGGAUUUGUAUUUUGUAAACUAAUAUUUUUCAUUUUGUUAAUGUAUUAAUUAUUAUUAUCUACAUUUAUGUGAUAGGGCACAUGCCACAUCAACUAAAAUUAAGUUAUAAAAUUUUGCAGCCCCUGAGCACUCAAUGUUUGUUGGCACAAGUUCAAGUCCCACCAUUUGUUAGGAUUUAAAUAAAGAACAUUAUAACCAUGCGUCCAAGAACUUAAAGUUAGCUUAAGUGCAUGGAUUUUCGAGUCCUAGUUAUUGUUGGAAUUCGAUUUCCUUUCUAAUUAAAUUGGGUAGGGGUAAAAUUAUCUCUCAAUUAAUAAGGACAAAGUAGAUAUCUCUCUCGAUUUUCCUCCCAAUUAAAUUAGUUAGAAGUAAAAUUAUCUCUCGAUUAAUAAGAGUAGAAUAAAUAUCUCUCUAGUAUUAUGCAAGGGUAGAAAUUUGGGCUGUACCAUGUUAGAAUUAUCAAGGAUAGUUUUGAUAGAAUUCUAAUUGUAAUAUAUGAGUGUAUAAAAAAAAUGAACAUCAAUGAAAGAUGUUUAGGUAAGGACUAUCUUGGAAUGGAAUUUUGAUUGUAAUAUAUCAGUAUAUAAAAAAAAUUAUGAAAAAUGUUUAACAAGGACUAUUUUGAUAUUUUAAUGAGUAGUAAAAAUUAAUGUUAAAAUUUGAUAAACGAGUGUAUAGUAAGAUGUUCAAAGUGUUAGAACAUAUAUAAAUAAUCCUAGCUCUAAUAAAAUUUUGCUACAUAAUUAGUUUAUCCCUUAAAGAAACAUAUCAAAAAAAUAUACAAAAACACAAUGCAUGAGUACAUGUCAAUCACAAAUGAAAGCAAUUAAGAUAAAGAAUAUGAUUUAUUUUAUUUUAUUUUAGUUAUUUUUUUAAUUAUUUUUUGUUUCUUUUGAAACAAGACCAAUUAGAUCAUGCAAGAAGUAAUUUUUUUUUUAAAAUAAAAAAAAGGAGAAAUGAUGAAACCCACGUCCAAAGAUGCCGUUGUCGCGGAGGCCUAGAUCUCACUACACCCCAUCCCCUUCUACCAUAUUUUAUAAUUGAAGAGGCCAUUAUUGAAUUGAAAAAUUAUGAUUCAAAAACCCAAAAAUAGAAAAAGAAAAGCAAUUGUUGGAAACACACUCGGAGUUUUAAAUUGACAUGAGAAAAGAAUAUAUUCAUCAACCUCAUACGUUAAUGAUGCGACGAGUUUGAGAUUAUGAGCCAAAUUCCUAACGUGUGGGAAUUUAAAGAUGUUACUACAAAACAUGUGUUCGUCGGUGGAGUAGAAUCAGGGAAAUUAAAGAUGCUACUACAACCACUAACGUGUGGGUGGGGAUAAGCAUAACUUUUUUCAUCAAAUGCCAAAUCCCCCCAGGUGGAGAGUGGGGACUCCUUUGCAUAAAUGUUCAUAAAAUUUUGACUAUGAUGUUAUUAGAAAUUGGGGAAACAUGUGGUGCAAUUGUGGUAUCGUGUCACAGUUACAUCCAGCCGUUGGAUGUCAGUGGACCCUACUCAUGCAAGUGUAUCCAAUGGCUAGAUGCAACUAUGGCACGGUACCACAGUUGCACCGUAGUCGGGUCCUAGAAAUUAAGAUAUUCUCUCUCUACGUAUGUCUACACGAAAUAAUAUGCAAAUAUAAUAUUUUAGUUUAUUAUUAAUAGUUUUACAAUAAUAAAAAUCAUUUUGAUAGACUGAAAAAUGUCGUAUUCACAUUUUAUUUUGUACGGACGUCUGCGAGAAAGAAUAUAUAUAUAUAUAGAGGAACGUGUAUUUAAGAUUUAGCUAGUGUGAAGUUGGGAAACUUUUUUUUUUUUUUGAACCCAGGCUAAAAUUAUUUCAAUAAAUUUUGAUCAUGGAGACUAAUAAGAUUUUUUUAGUUAUAUUUAUUAAUUUUUUAGGGACUAACAUGAAUAUUAAUAAUUUUCUUGAGAUUAUUAAAAAAACAAUGUGCUAUUUUACAUCUAUGACUUUUCCAAUCUUUUUUUCUUUCGUUAUUUAAUCCUUUGUGAAUUUUAGUUAAUGCUUGAUAUUAUUUUUUUGCUCAUUUUUUAAAGUAGUAAUUAAAUCUGAACCCUUACAGUAGAAGAUUAUGAAAAAGUAAAGACACAAAAAUCAUAAAAAUCAUUAGUAGGUCCAAAUUUGUGCUAUUUUCAUACAUAACUUGAGAAUAUUUAUAAUUACGCAUCAGAACUAGUGGAGUAGAAUCAGGGAAAUUAAACAUUCUACAAUCAUUGACGUGUGGGUUGGGGAUAAGCAUAAACCUUUUCUAUGCAGUAUAAAAGAAUGCAAUAACUCCUUUCUUUCAUAUCUUCGCAACAAAAGCACAUCUAAUAACUCUUCAGAAUUCUCGUUUUCUUUGUCACAAUGGUUGAUGCGAUCGUUUCCUCUCUCCUGGAGCAGCUGAGCUCAGUUGCAACUGAUGAACUGAAACAACAGGUGAGGCUUGUUACUGGUGUACGACAAGAAGUGAAAAAGCUUACCAUCAAUCUUGAAGGCAUUCGAGCUGUGCUGGAAGAUGCAGAGAAAAGGCAAAUGCAGCACGACAAAGCUGUUACUCUUUGGCUGGAUCAGCUCAAAGACGCAUCUUACGACAUGGAAGAUGUGUUGGAGGAGUGGACCACCUCAAGGCUCAAAUUGCAGAUUGAGGGCGUUGAUGAUGACAAUGCUCUUGCUCUUGCUCCUCAUAAGAAGAAGGUACGUUCCUUCUUUUGUGCUGUAUCAAACUGCUUUGGUAGUUUCAAACAACUCUGUCUUCGUCAUGACAUUGCUGUCAAGAUUAGGGAAAUCAAUGGAAAGCUAGAUGAUAUUGCCUCCCAAAAAGAUAAGUUUAAAUUUGUGGAGAAUGUGAGUAACAAUGUCAAGAAACCAGAGCGAGUGCGAACCACGUCCUUGAUUGAUGAGGGAGAGGUUUGCGGUAGAGUUGAUGAGAAAAAUGAGCUCUUAAGCAAGUUGUUGUGUGAAAGUAGUGAACAACAAAAAGGCCUUCAUGUCAUCUCACUAGUUGGGUUAGGGGGUAUAGGUAAAACCACUCUUGCACAACUAGCCUAUAAUAAUGAUGAGGUGAAAAGAAAUUUUGAAAAAGUUAUAUGGGUGUGUGUAUCAGACACUUUUGAGGAGAUUAGGGUUGCCAAAGCAAUCAUUGAAGGUCUAGGCGAGUCAGCUUCUAGUUUAAGCGAAUUCCAAUCUCUUAUGAGCCAUAUCCAUAGAUCAAUUGAAGGAAAAAAGUUUUUUCUUGUUUUAGAUGAUGUAUGGGAUGGGGAUUACAAUAAAUGGGAACCAUUCUUCCUUUGUCUAAAGAAUGGUCUGCAAGGAAGUAAAAUUUUGGUUACCCCACGUAAUGAGUUAGUUGCACGUAUGAUGGGAUCAACAAAUAUUAUCUUCAUUAAGCAAUUGGCUGAAGAGGAAUGUUGGUCGUUGUUCAAGCGGUUGGCAUUUUCCAGUCGCUCUUUCGAAGAUUGUGAAAAAUUAGAACCAAUCGGGCGAAAAAUUGCACUGAAGUGCGAAGGCCUGCCUCUUGCUGCAAAGGUAAUAGGGAAUCUCUUGCGCUCUAAAAUUACAGUAAAAGAGUGGCAAAGAAUUUUAGAUAGUGAAAUGUGGAAAGUAGAAGAGAUUGGGCACGGUCUUUUAGCUCCUUUGUUGUUAAGUUAUAACGAUUGGCCCUCUAAUUCUAUGGUAAAACAGUGUUUCUCAUAUUGUGCUGUCUUUCCAAAAGACUACAAUAUGAAGAAAAGGGAAUUGAUUAGUCUAUGGAUGGCUCAAGGUUACCUUAAUGCAGACGAAGACGAAGAAAUGGAGAUGAUUGGAGAAGCGUAUUUCAACAUCUUAGCAACACGCUCUUUCUUUCAAGAGUUUGAAAAAGAUUAUGACGAUGAUGAUAUUAUGAGUUGCAAGAUGCAUGACAUAGUACAUCAUUUUGCUCAAUUUGUAAGUAGCAAAGAAUGUUUGUGGCUAGAAAUUGAUGAUAACAAAGAAUCAGUCAUAAACUCUUUUGGUGACAAAGUCCGUCACUUAGGGUUAAAUUUUGAAGGAGGCGCUUCAUUUCCUAUGUCCUUUUUUGAAUUUGAUAGAUUGCGUAGCCUCUUAAUUUAUGAUGAAAGUCUUUCCAAUCCGUCUCUUAGUAGUAGCAUUCUUUCGGAGUUAUUUAGUAAAUUGGCGUGUUUAAGGGCAUUAUUUAUAAGGCAAUCGUCCUUUCAUUUGCGUACAGAUCCAAAUAAGAUUAGAGAAAUUCCAGAAAAUGUUGGAAAAUUGAUACAUUUAAAAUAUCUUAAUUUAUCUAAAUUAUGCAUAGAGAGACUACCUGAGACUUUGUGUGAAUUAUAUAAUUUACAAAAGCUAGAUAUUAGGGGGUGCGAAUAUCUUAGAGAAUUGCCUGCGGGGAUUGGAAAGUUAAUGAACAUGAGGAGUUUACUGAAUGAUAACACUCGUUCGUUGAAGAACUGCCAAUUCUAGAAGAUCGCAGGACAACAGACAUACCGCGUCUUUCUUCCUUGCGAAUAUGGUUUUGCCCCAAAUUAAAGGUGCUGCCGGAUUACCUCCUUCGAACGACGACGCUGCUGGAAUUGAAUAUUAUGGAAUGUCCUCUUCUAGAAGAACAUUAUAGAGAGGGGAAAGGAGAAGACUGGCAUAAGAUAUCUCACAUUCCCCACAUCCAGAUAUCUCACAUCACGUGGCAUUAGUGGUAAUUUCUCCUCCUCCUCUGAUUUACUUCGUUGUUGCUUGCAAUGAAAUUAAUAAAAAUAAUUAUAUUUUGAAUUAAAAUUUCUAUAUUUAUUUACUUUUAAAAAAUAUGUGCUCUUUUGUAAAAUUUCAAGCAAUGUACGAAAAUUUGUUGUGUGUAACUUCCCGAGAGACAAAAUCUCUGUGAUACAUUUGCAGUAAUGUUGAAAACUAAAUUAUCAAUUUUAUCUUGUAUAAUGAUAAUCUUAUUUUUUUAUAUAUAAUUUAUGUGACAUUAAUUCUUUAAAGUAAUUGUGUAAUUGUUUUUAGUAGUACAUUAGCCCACUUUGUUUUACUUCGUACGAGUUUAAUUAUGUUCACCAGGGAUUCGAGGAAAUGUCAGAACCACACUAGCAAUUCACAGGUCCAAUCUAAUUUCUCUCAUACUUUUUGGGCUAAAAAAUAAAUGUAACUCCAACAUAUUUAUUAUUUAAUGGUUCUAUAUAGAAUCAAUCGUGGUAUAAAUAUGUAAAACUUCCUAGUUAUCAAUUUUGUCUUGCAUAAUGAUAAUCGUUUUUUUUUAUAUAUAAUUUAUGUGACAUUAAUUCUUUAAAGUAAUUGUGGAAUUGUUUUUACUACAUUAGCCCUCUUUGUUUUAUUUCAUACGAGUUUAAUUAUGUUCACCAGGGAUUCGAGGAAAUGUCAGAACCACACUAGCAAUUCACAGGUCCAAUCUAAUUUGGUUUUAAUGAUGCAGGCAGGAGAGUAUGCUAAGAAAAUGAAAAGUUUAGCCAAAGGAUUGCUAAAAUGUUCUGCUGGUAAUUCACUUGCUUUAUUUUAUAGAAUUUCAUUUCCAUCUUCUUCUAUUGAUAUCUUGUUGUGAAUAAACAAGAACAGAGAAGUAAAGAUAUAUCAAAAUUUACUAUUACGAUGAUGCUAAAGCAAGCUCAAGCUCAAGCAUUGCAUUUUUAUUUUAUUUAAUUUAUAGAAUUUUCAUUUCCACCUGCAUUGCAUUUUUAUUUAUUUUUAGGUUGACUUUGAAUACUUCAUGGUGAAAAUGACGAGUACAGCCAAAGGAUUGCUAAAUGUUCUGCUGGUAAUUCACUUGCUUUAUUUUAUAGAAUUUCAUUUCCAUCUUCUUCUAUUGAUAUCUUGUUGUGAACUGUGAAUAAAGAAGAACAGGGAAGUAAAUGAUUGGACCACAGAGAAGUAAAGGUGUAUCAAAAUUCGCUAUUAUGAUGAUGCUAAAGCAAGCUCAAGCACAAGCAUUGCACUUUAUAUUUUAUUUAGUUAAUAGAAUUUUCAUUUCCACCUGCAUUUCAUUUUUAGGUUGACUUUGAAGACUCUAUGGAGAACAUUGGGGUAACCAAGGAUUAUCACUGUGGUUAUUGUGCAACGUUUGGCUGCUGGACUUUGAAGAAGGAAGUGAUGGCCGGGUCUGCUCUGUUUCAAUUGAGGAUGGAUAGCUGCCUGAAAGACAUGAUGAUUAUUAUUGCGUGAUGUUAAGGUGCUGAGAUCAUCAUUGCUAUCUUGUUUCAUUCUUGGAAUCAUUUAUCCUGUAUAAACAUUUGUUUUAACAAAUGUUUCAAUGCAUGCUGUAGUAACAAUUUCAUAUCUUGCAUCUCUCGGGUGCAUCAUGAUCACGGGUUUGAGAAAGCAUUUGUGGUAAAGCAAUUCAAUUCGGUACGUUUGGUGCGGUCUCCUAAUGCUACUACCAUAUUUUGUAUAGCAAUUAAAAUUCAGGUAUACAAUCCUAAUAUGCAAUAAAUCAUUGUGUACAAAGUUAUCUAUUAAUUAUAUGGUAACUGAAAUUUUCAUUAUAAUUUUAAUUAUCAUAUUAAUAUUAAAAUUUUUUGUAACCCUCUUUUACUUUGCUUGUACAGAGUACCUGUUUUGGCUGAUAUGUCUAAUUCGUAGAAAUUCAUUUCCAUCGGUUUCCAUUGGUUUUAGCACAAACAGAAACAGAAAUCUGGGGAAAAGUUUUACUUCUUGUGGUAUUAUGCCUUUAUUUAUUCAUUCAUCAUAUUUGUUCAAAUUCAUGCUCUCAUUCAGAGAGCAGCCUUUUCCAGGCUACUUUGUAGCCAAAUUUUCAUGCCAUCGAUGCAUGAUUGUCAUUUAGAUUUUCCAAAUAAUUGUUAGAUUGAAGAAGAAUAAGAAGAUAUUGUUAAAAGGGCAUUUAAUUAGCACCCUCUGAAUUUAGUUGCCAAUAAUGCAUUGAAAUGGUUGGGGAAAGUUAUUGUCUCAAUUAAAUUACAGGUGAUAAGAUGCUGCUCCAAUUUUGCAAGCAUCUCGUGUUGCGAAGAUUUUGCCCACAUGAGAUGCUAUGAUUUUUGACAUCAGGGUAACACAGGUCAAAUUUUAGCAUCAAUAGAUAUCAUCUUCUUUACUGUUCUGCUCGAAAUAUUAAACUUUAGGCAAGUUGUUUUUGGUUGUGUGAGUUAUCAGGUUAAGGAUACUAAGCAGCUUAUUAAGGCAAAUGUCAGAAUGAAGAUUGCUUACCACACCUGGUAUGCAUGAUGGCCAGGAAGAUUAAUUGUUCACAAGCCAAUUUGAUCAGUGUUAGAUUUUUUUCCUCCUUUCGAGGGACAUCAUCAAAUUUGAGUAGAGAAUCUUUGAAGGGAAUUUUGUUGUCAGAGUUUCACAGUAGUGAAUUCUAGGAGCUCGAACUCACUUGAGUGAGAUAUUAGGGAGUAUUGGGGAUUUGGGUUAUGAGUAAUCAUUAUCCUUCCAAUAUGUGUAAGCACUCACUUGUUAGUAAAAUCAUCUUCGUAUAUUGACUAUGUUUCUUUGUUAUCAGGUAGAGUGUGAUCUUCAAGGGUUUGAGAAAGUCCUUGCAGUAAAGUUUCCACCACAAGUAAUUGCUCAGUUUCAGAUUUUCUAGGCGUUUAAUUAGUUUCGAUUAUAAUAUUUAGUCACUCAUUCUGAAUCUUUUCUAAUUUUCAAGUUCCUUAGGACCACGAUCAUUUUUUCAAGUCUGCUGUGGCUGCAAAAAGAUUGAUGGUCAUAAAAUUAUCUUGACCCUUGAGCCAUUGCGUUUGAGCACAAACAGAAACAGAGCUAAAGGAAAAGAACUUGACGCAAGAAGAUGCUCUGAAUAUAACAAAAGUAUAUUUCUACUUCUUGUGGUUAUUUACUUUUGUUUCUCCUGUCAGCAUAUUUGAUUAAUUCGUUCGAAUUCACACUCUCUCACACAUUAUUUAAAACCAUUUGUAGGUGGCUUGCAAGCUAAUUAAGUUAAUGCAGAAGCAAUACUCUAGACUUUAGGAAAGUUGUUUUUGUUUGUGUGAGUUAUCAGGUUAAGAUUACUAAGCAGCUUAUUAAGGCAAAUGUCGGAAUGAAGAUUGUUCACCGCACCUGGUAUGAAUGAUGGCGAGGAAGAUUAAUUGUUCACAAGCCAAUUUGAUCAGUGUUAGAUUCUUUUGCCUCCCUUCGAGAGAUAUCAUCAUCAAAUUUGAGAAGAGAGUUUUGUUUUGACAUUUCACUGUAGUGAAUUUUGGGAGCUUGAACCCACUUGAGUAAAAUAUUAGGGAAUACUGGGGAUAUGGGUUAUGAGUGAUCGUUAUCCUUCAAAUAUUUGUAAGCUCUCACUUGUUAGUAAAACCAUCUUCGUAUAUUGACUUUGUUUCUUUGUUGUCAGGCCGAGUGUGAUCUUCAAGGUUUGAGAAAGUCUUCGCAGUAAAAUUUCCACCACGUGCAAUUGCAGUGAAGGGGCAUAUACAUUUGAGUAAUUCAGUUUCAGAUUUUCAAGGCGCGUUUGUUUAAUUAGUUUCGAUUAUAAUAUUUAGUCACUCAUUCUGAAUCUUUUCUAAUUUUCAAGUUCUUUAGGGCCGCCAACAGUUUUUCAUGUCUACAUGUGGCUGCAAAAAGAUUGAUGGUCAUCAAAUUAUCUUGAGCCUUGAGGCAUUGCAUUCGAGCACAAAGGGAAACAGAGCUAAGGGAAAUGAAGACAGUAGGAGAUGCUCUGAAUAUAACAAAAGUAUAUUUCUACUUCUUGUGGUUAUUUUAAUUUUGUUUCUCCUGUCAUCAUAUUUAAUUAAUUUGUUUGAAUUCACACUCUCACACAUUAUUUAAAACCAUCUGCAGGUGGUUUGCAAGCUAGCUAAGUUAAUGCAAAAACAAUACUCUAGACAAAGAUGAGCAAAUUGAAGGCGACAAAUGCAAAUUGGAUUUCAAUGAAUAAUUGUUAGGCUGGUGGAGAUAUUCUUAAAAGGGCAUUAAGCUAUCUUAUGGAAUUGGAAAGUUAUUAUUGCUUGAAAGCAAGCAGCAUCUUUGUUGCGAAGGCUUUCCCCACUUGAUAAGAUGCUGAGAUUGUUACCGGCCCCUUAAUUAUUUAUUAACUCAGGUAUUUAUUAUCAGUACAUCAUCUUAUUCACCAUUUUGGCUAUAUAUGAAGAUUAAAAUUUCUAACAGUUGUUUCGGAUUCUUGUGUACUCAGGUUAAUAGGGCAAAUGUCAGAAUGAAGAUUGCUCAGUGCAACCGAUAUAGCAAGGAUGAUAGUUGUGAGGAAGAUUGUUGGCAAGCCAAAUAGAGCCCUCCAUUUGGAGAAAUAUCAUCCUCAAAUUUGAAUUGUUGAGCAUGUGAGGUGAAGCUAAAGCCUUAAUAAUGAGACCUUCCUGUGGAAGUUUCAUUUGAAUGAAUUGAACGUUCUUAGUGAGUGAGAAAUUAAGCAUAUAUCAGCGAUUUUGGUCGUCAGUGAAUGUUUUCCUUCAAUAUUAAUACACUGGCAUUUCUUAGUAAAUUCUCUUCACGUCACUUCCUCCGUGUUGGUGGGAUUAGUAAACAAAUGCCAUUUCUUAGUACAUUUUGAGAAUUUUGACUCCCAAAUAAGCCUGCAGAGCGGUGUAUGGUGGGAUUAGCUGCAGGAUUCUUUGCCAAACUUCCUUUUUAUUCCUUUGUUCACUUAUUCGUUAUAAAUAAAGUAAAAUUAGAAUAUUGUUCCGUUUACUGUCUAAGCUGGUCUAACAUUUGUUUAAUUUGGGCAAUUUUUAAUGCCUAACAGGUUAUCUGUGACAAACCCAUCAGUGAGUGUAUGCAACUAUUGCGUGGAUUUGAUAGAGUGGUCACCAACAAUUUUGAAGUUAUUGGAGUAGCACGGCUUUGAGGUCUCUCCCUCCCACUUUUACGUAUUUGUCUAUUGAUCGACAUGUCUAUAUAUACAUUGAUAGACCAACUUACUCUUGUUUUAAUGUUUUGUUUGUUAAACUUUGACUGGGUUAUGUUUAUUUGUCUCAUAUGAUGUCAAUGUGGUUCCUAUUGAAGUGUAUAGAUCUGUCACCUCAAAGUCUGAUUUCAAUUUUCCUUUACUUCAUCAACUAGCAUCCUUUCCAAGUCCAGAUACUUACCAAUAGUGAGACUUUGCUACGGAAGUACAAUUUCUCUUGUUUUACAGUUAAUUAUGUAAGAAAAGUUUUAAAUUUACAGAAUUCUGGUAUAGCUCUCUUAAGGAAAUGCGAGUGGUGAAUAUGGUUCCAACUUUUAAUAGGCUUAAUAGGCCCAUUUGUUGAGCCACAGUGAUUGCGGUGUAAAUUCUUCUUUACUGUCUAUAUGUGUUGGAGUUUGUCUAUUGUCCAACUUCUCAAAUCGAUUCCAUGCAGGGUUUUGAAUGUCUAAUUAGGAGAAAGAUUAACGGAUUACCUUUUGAAGAAGGCCACUGUUUCUGGGCUUGGUCUCCUUGGCAUCAAACAAGAUAAUGUUGACUCUAUUAAAGGGGAAAUAAGGGCAACUAAAGCGCGAAGAAAGAGGAUAGUCCGGAGGAAGGUGACUGCAUAAAUUUCGCUGCCUGUCGAAGAGACACAUCAUGGAAGUCCUCAUCAAACUCUGAGACACCUAAGAAAUAGUAGGAGGUGGUGGUACUCGCCUGGGGUUAAUUUCCUGGCAAGUAUAGUUCACUGAUAGAGGGAAUCUUCUCUUGAUGUCUAAAUACCGUAUGUGAUACAACGUCGUAUAUUCUAAUUUUCCUUGAGUU
rnacentral:lncRNA from 1 species